rnacentral:lncRNA from 1 species
UCUAGAACAGGUAAGGUUUCCAUCUACAGCCAUCCAUUGACAGCAGAUACAUUUUCAUUCAGCAGACUCUGUUAGCAUUCAAGAUGCUGGCAGAUUCACUUGAUUCUUAUUAGCUUGUUUAGUGGCAAAGCCUAUAACCUGUAUUUCAAAGCCAAGUUGUGCUAUUGAUUAUGUUAACUUUUUUGUUAACAUAAAAUGAUAUGGAGGAAAUAAUCAGUGUUGGAAAAUUAGGUGAAAAGAUGAUGUCAAAUCUUGAACCUCUUACGAAACUCUAAGUUCUUUACUUGAAGAGGCUACGAAAUUUGAACAGCGUCUACUCGAAGGCCUUGCCAUUCCCUGAUGCAUGCAGAAUUUUUGUAUUUAAAUGCCCAGAGCUUAAGAAGCUGCCACUGGAUCUUGAAGGGGCAGACCAAGGUAAAAAUCUUAUCAAGGGAAAGGAAGAUUGGUGGAAACAACUUAAUGGGAGGAUCAAGUAACUCAGAAUGCAUUGCUUCCAUUUUUUAAAUUGACUGACAAGUGAUUGAACGGGGCAUCAUCAACAUCAUCAACAGGGAUGGAGAGAUACCGGAGCAGAUCAGCAGGGUUUGAAUAUGACCUUUGGCGGUUGCUUUUUUUUUGUGAUUUUUUUUUCAUUUUUUCCUUCCUGUCAUUUUAUCAUUUCUUUCUCUGUUUCUAUUGCGGGUGUUACUGCAUGCUUACUGUUGCUUGACAAAGUUUGCUAGCUUUUUGUUUGCAGUGUUGCUAUACACUCCGAGUCAAGCCUCGAAAAUUUAUUAAACGAAGCCGUUUCGACAGUAACAAUUCUUUUCUUUUCCCUUUGCAUGUCUCUUUCAUCUGCUGUUUCUCUAUCACUUUUCAUUUUUGAUUUCCUUGCUUCUCAGCUGCCCCUAAAUUGUUAUUCUAGCAAUAUACUUUCUCAUCUUUGAAUUUUCAUCCUUGAGUACUCCCACAGCCGUAAUUUCAUCAUCAUAGACUUCACUUGGAAUGCUGUAUUUUUUCGAUUCUUGAGCUACUUCAAUUACAUCUUAGUAUAGGAUCCUCAUCUUCCUUUAUUUCUUCAUCUUAUGAGGUAAUAAAUGGAUUUCACAACUCAUCUACUUUUAAGCAAUUACAUAUUAUACCUUGAAUGAUUCAACUGUUCUGACAGUUAAAGAUUUUAUGCUCAACCUGCAGUGCUACGAACAUUGUCCAUGAAAGAUGAGUUUCAGCAUAUAAAAUGAAAUAUAGAUGUUUAAUCUAAAAUAACCCUUCACUGCCAGAAACCUAGGUCACAAAAUUCACAGAUAAUGAUAAAGAGCUAAAAAAUUUGAAAAACUCUACAGAUCACACAUCAAGCAAGAUAUCAUGUUUUUUUCCCUCAUUCAGUGGUGAUUGAUUCGCUUUUUGAUGAUGGAUAUGGUAUAAAAGUGUUGACCCAAUUUCAAGCAAACACAAAUAGAAACACAAACACAAUCGGGACUAGAGUUGUGGGCGAUUAUCUUAGGUGUACAAGUGAAACGGUGGUGGCUGUCGAUGGUGGUAGUGGGGUGGUUGGGUAUGCGUGAUGGCUAGAUUUUAGGACAAUAAUGAUUGGAGUUGACCUCAAUCAACGAAGGAAAGUGACAACAAUUUUGACAUCAAACGGUGCAUUUUUUAGCUUAGUAAAAUGGAGCCGUUUCGAUUUUGGGGUUUAAUCCGGGGUUUGACUCGGUGCAAGUAUCAUUUUCCUUUUGUUUAUUAAAUUUUUUUAUGGUCACAAAGUAUCACUCGUUCUAUUUGAGAGUCAUGUGAAUCAAUUUUUCAAAUUUUCAAUUUUAAAUUUUGUGGUCAAUGUGAAUUCAAUUUCAUUUGUCUCCUGCAAUUAUGAAAAAAUUAAAUAGUCAUAAUAUGGAAAAAUACACCGGUAAAAACUUUGUAAAAGCUUCGGAGUGAUACGGGGAAUUCACUUACUACUAAGGACAAUUGGUGGCAAGCUAUUCCAUUCAUUUUAUGUCCAUCCAUCUAUUUAGUUAUUGAAGAUAAGUGGUCCAUUUGUAAAUUUCAGAUUGUCUCUCUCUCCCUCUUGAAAUAACAAUAUUUAAUAUAUCUCAUAAAUUAUUAUAAAUUUUAAUUUACUCUCGAUUUAAAAUGGAGCAUGUCGAUAAAUUUUUUUUCUUCUUAAUAAAAUUGACGUAAGUUGUGUUUACAGUAGUUUGAAGUUUGAAAUAUUUUAAAGAUUAUUAUUCUAUAAGGGAGUAAUAUGAAAUGAUAUUUACUUUUCAUGUGUGAAAUGAAAAAGGACGAAGCAAGUGUCCCUGCUUUUAUUUUAUUUCAAGGAGGAGUCAUCUCACAUACUUUAGCUCUUAACAUUACAUUUUUUCUGGUUACAUUUUUUAUUUAUUUAUUUUUUUUUUUUUACACAUGCGUGUGGGUUGCUUUUCUGUAAGCUCCUUAAUAUAUAUUUAAGACAAAUCAUGGAAGAGAUGGGAUUAUAUCAAGAUGAUCAAAGAAUGUUAAAAAAGAAAAAAGAAAAAAAAAAGAAGUAAGACACUGAAAAUGGAGAAGAGAUGGAAGCAAAAGAUAUUCCAAAACAAAGCAAUCUAUCCCCUUUCGAGGGCAGACUUAUCAGGUUUAAAAAAGUACACGCUUUGGAUUGGUAGUUGCAAUCAAGGGAAAAUAAAUAGGAUCCAAUGAAAUUUAAAUCUCGGAGAAAAUAAAUAAUCAUGCAGAUUUUCAAGAUUUUAAUAAGGGAUACUAAUAUCUUAUUUUGAUUAAUAAUAUCCUUUCAUUGUGUUAACUCAAAAAAUAUAUAUUUUAAUGUUUUGCAAUAAACAGAAACGUACUAUUAAAAUGAAUAUAUAAAGAAUUUAGAAAAUUUUGAAUGUUAUAUAAAAUAAUUUUAAGAUAAUGCGUGAGAUAUAUUUUAUUAAUUUAAAAUGUUAUUUUACCUAAAAAAUAUGAUAAAUUAAUAAUUACAUAUUUGAAGUUAUUUUAAAUAUUAAAAAAAUUUAAUAUUAUUAAUCUUUUAGAUAGAUUAAAUUAUUUUUUAUAAGAGAUAGAUUAAAUUAUUUUAAAAUACGUUAAUUGUUUUUACUUUUAACGUUACCGGCCUUUCUUUUAUUUUAUUGCAAAUUAAUGCUAACAAGAAAAAGCUAGAUCAUAUUCCACAAAAGCAAAAGUGACAAACACAACCAGCUGGAAUCUUUUAAUUACUAUUCAAUAAUUCGAGACGAUUAGGGUCUUUUAUUAAACUACAAAUUGUAUAGUCUUUUUAAAAUUGUUAUAAAUUGGUGGCACCUACAAUCCUCAAUAAUUGUACCGAUAUUCACAAGUUGGUGGCCCCUACAAUUCUGUUCGGAUAAUUUAACUGUGCAAGUGCUCAUUCACAAUAAUUGUUUUGUUUUUUUUUUCUGCAUUCCCUUUCAUGCUCUUAAUAAUUGAAGAGCAUACUUUUCAUUUUCAAAUGUGGAGCCGCAGCUAAUGUCGCUAAUUUAAUUUGGGAUUAAAUUAGGGGACCAUUAUAUUGCAGUGUGCACUAAUUUUUGUGUUUAUCUAAACUCCUUAAAUUUAAGACAUAUUAUGGCAUAAAUAAGAAUAUAACAAUAGCAAAAGAGUUAAAAAGUGUAGAGAAGAUCUUGCAGAAAUAUAAAUAAUAUCUAUUUUAAAAUAAUAUCAAUAUUUAAAAUAAUUUUUAAUAUUUUAUGAUUCAUUAGAUAUAUUUUAUUAUAUUAAAGUAAAUUUUAUAAUAAAUAAAAACAUACUAUUAAAAUGAAUAUAUAGAAAAUUUAGAGUAUUUUAAGUAUUAUAUAAAAUAAUUUUAAUAAAAUAUGUGAGAUAUUCAUAUUUUAUUAAUUUAAAAUACCAUUUAACCUAAAGAUUUAUUUAUGAUAAAUUAAUAAUUAUAUUUUUGAAGUUACUUCAAAUAUUAAAAAUAUUAAUAUUACUAAUCUAUUAGAUAGAUUAAAUUAUAUAUAUUAUUUUCUAUUUAUUAAAAAAUUUAAAAUUAUUUUUAAUUACUAUUCAAAAAAUAUAAUGAUAAAAAAGAAUCUUAACAUCUUUAUUAAAAAUUUAAAAAUUUACAUGAUCAAUUCUCUAAAUAUUUAGGGUUAUAUGUGAACAACGGUGGAGAAGCUUUAUUUAAUAUUAUUGAUUUAAAUAAUAUGUCAAUUAAAAAUGUACAGAGAAGGAAAUUUCGGUGGGUAUUUUAGUCUUUUCAGCAAUUAUCAUGAUCAGAUCAGCCUUUAGCCUUGAAUCGUCGGUCAGAAAAGUUUUAAAAUUAACGCUAACAAGAAAAAGCUAGGUCAUAUUCCACAAAAGCAAAACUGACAAAACAACCAGCUGGUUUCUUUUACUAAACUACAAAUUAAAAGUGGAUUCUUUUGAAUGCAAGUGGGACAGACGAUUAGGCUCUUUUUAUUAAAGGCAAGUAAAAACUAGUCGAAUAGUCUUUUUCAAAUUGUUGUUUUAUUAUUUUUCCUUCAAAAGUUAGUGUGGCUCAUGUUUGCAGGUGCGAAUGUGGGUCCCGAAUCAUUACUAAAAUUUCUAUUCCACAGCCCACCGCAGCUUCAGUUAAUCAAACUCAAAUCAAUUUUCUUUCUUAACAAAAUAUUCCAAAGAUGUGUAGCAUUUUUCAGAUCACAUGCGAUGGUGCUCUUUUCAAUCGUUGCUUGGAUUGCUUUCUUGGAAAAGCAGCAUACAUACGUAACCUCCAAGAUAAUGUUGAUACCUUGGGCACUGAAUUGGGAAAUCUGAUCGCUAGAAAGAACGAUCUGAUGAGGAGGGUUGUCGAUGCUGAACGGCAACAAAUGAGAAGGCUGGACGGAGUGCAAGUGUGGGUUUCGAGGGUGGAUUCUGUUAAAACUGAAGCUGAUCAAUUUAUAAGAGACGGCUCUCGAGAAAUUGAAAAAUUAUGUGUUGGAGGCUACUGUUCCAAGAAUUGCAUGUCAAGCUACAAGUUCGGGAAAAAAGUGGCUAAAAAGCUACGGGAUGUGCGGACUUUAAUCAGUGAAGGAGUUUUUGAGGUGGUGGCUGACAGAGCUCCAGAGUCUGUAGCAGAUGAAAGACCUACUGAGCGAACAGUAGUAGGCUUGCAAUCACAACUUGAACAAGUCUGGAGAUGUCUUGUAGAAGAAUCAGCGGGAAUCAUUGGCCUAUAUGGUAUGGGCGGUGUUGGUAAAACUACACUACUGACCCAUAUCAACAAUAAAUUUCUCGAGAGUCCAACCAACUUUGAUUGUGCGAUUUGGGUUGUAGUUUCAAAAGACCUGCGACUCGAAAAAAUUCAAGAAGAUAUUGGGAAAAAGAUAGGUUUGGUUGGUGAUUCAUGGAAGAGUAAAAGUGUAGAGGAGAAAGCUGUCGACAUCUUCCGGAGUUUAAGAGAGAAGAGAUUUGUAUUGUUGUUAGAUGAUAUAUGGGAGCGGGUUGAUUUAACAAAGGUGGGCAUUCCACUUCCCGGACCAAAAAAUACUACCUCAAAAGUCGUAUUCACAACCCGUUUCAUCGAUGUUUGUGGUAGCAUGGAAGUUGACAGGAAGUUUCAAGUAGCAUGCUUAUCAGAAAAGGAUGCUUGGGAACUGUUUCGAGAAAAAGUUGGGGAGGAAACUCUUCAGAGUCAUCAUGAUAUCGAUGAGCUAGCCCAAAUUGUGGUCAAAGAGUGUGGUGGUUUGCCACUCGCACUUAUUACUAUUGGUCGAGCUAUGGCCUACAGAAAGAAAGCGGAGCAGUGGAGACGUGCAAUUGAAGAGUUAAGGAGAUCAGCUUCAGAGUUUGCAGGUUUGGGAAAAGAGGUUUAUCCUCUUUUAAAAUUCAGCUAUGAUAGUUUGCAGAAUGAUACGGUUAGAUCUUGUUUCUUGUACUGUUGUUUAUAUCCUGAAGAUUAUGGCAUUCUUAAAUGGGACUUGAUUGAUUGUUGGUUUGGCGAGGGAUUUUUUGGGGAAUCUGACAGGUCUGGUGCAGAAAACCAAGGAUAUGACAUUUUGGACACUCUUGUUCGUGCGUGUUUAUUAGAAGAGGUGGAAGAUGAUGAAGUAAAAAUGCAUGACGUUAUUCGUGAUAUGGCUAUAUGGAUAACUUGUGAAAUUGAGAAGGAGAAGAGAAACUUUUUGGUUCGUGCAGGUGCUGGAUUAAAAGAUGCACCGGGUGUUAAAGGAUGGGAAAAUGUGAGAAGAUUGUCAUUGAUGCAAAACCAAAUUGAAACUCUGGCAGAGGUUCCCACAUGCCCUCAUCUCCAUACUCUAUUUCUUGACUUUAAUAGGGGGUUGGAUAUGAUCGCGGAUGGCUUCUUUCAAUUUAUGCCUUCUCUCAAAGUUUUGAAGAUGUCAAACUGUUCGAAUUUGAAAUUACCUGUUGGGAUGUCAGAGUUGGGUUCAUCACUAGAACUUCUUGAUAUUUCAGAAAACAGCACAAGAGAGUUACCGGAAGAGUUAAAGAAGUUGGUAAAUCUGAAAUGUUUGAAUUUGAGGUGGACAGAGCAUUUAAAUAAAAUUCCACGGCAACUAAUAUCAAAUUCUUCAAGGUUACGUGUGUUGAGAAUGUUCGCUACUGGCCGGUUCAAUUUUCAUGAAGCACCAGAAGACAGCGUUUUAUUUGGUGGGGGUGAAGUUUUGAUACAGGAAUUGCUCGGUUUGAAAUAUUUAGAGGUAUUGGAGUUGACCUUGGGAAGUUAUCAUGCUCUCCAAAUUCUUUUGAGCUCAAAUAAGUUAAAAAGUUGUAUUCGAUCUCUUUACCUCGAGUUGACCGGAGAUACAACGUCAAUUAUUGAUGCUACGGCUUUCGCAGAUCUAAACCACCUCAAUGAAUUACGGAUUGAUAAUGGUAUUGAGUUGGAAGAGUUGAAGAUUGAUUAUACGGAGAUAGUACGAAAAAGGCGGGAACCUUUUGUUUUCCGCAGCCUUCAACGUGUUACCAUAGCGGAGUGCCAUAAAUUGAAAGAUGUGACAUUCCUCGUUUUUGCUCCAAACCUCAAGUCUCUUCGGCUAUUCUAUUGCGGUGCUAUGGAAGAAAUAAUCAGCGUCGGAAAAUUUGCUGAGACUCCUGAGAUGAUGGGACAUAUAAGCCCUUUUGAAAAUCUCCAAAUGCUUGAUUUACAAGGUUUGCCACAUUUGAAGAGCAUCUUCUGGAAGCCAUUGCCUUUCACUCAUCUGAAAGAAAUGGAGGUACUUAGGUGCGAUCGGCUUGAAAAGCUUCCACUCGAUUCCAACAGUGCAAAGGAGCGCAAAUUUGUUAUUCGUGGAGAAGAAGACUGGUGGAACCGACUUCAAUGGGAGGAUGAAGCCACUCAAAUUGCUUUUCGUUCCUGUUUUAAAAGUGAUGCUUUAUUUAUAUCUUAUUCGUGAAAAGUGAUUUAAUUUCCUGCCAAAAGACGAACGAGAAGAACAAUAGAGUCAAACUAAUGCUCACAUAAAUUUCCCGUAAGAAUAUAUAAUUAGAUUGGAAUGCACACCUCUAGAUUGAACAGAAUUAAAGCUGAGAAAAUAUUGAGUAUAGUAGCCCUCUUUACAGAAAAUGACGUGAAAGUUAAUUUAGAAAGAUAUAUUCUUGAUUAAUCCAUUUUCUGAAGUUUUUAUUUUGUAUGGUCAAUUAUACCUUCAUACUAAAAAUUUCUGAAGUUAUAAAUUAGUGCAACUUGACAAUUUUUACUGAUGAUAUCUUCUAUUUUUCCCUUUUUUUUUUUUUCACUUUCAUAGACUGGCAGCGGAUCCUGCGGCACCAAUUUGAGAGAAUAUACUGACACUACUUCGAACAGCAAGCAGAAGAAGUAAUAUGUCUACGGCAAAGGCAAUGGAGUCCUCAUUUUGGCUCGAGAUGCAGUAAUCAUCGAAGAGAGUUUCCUUGUGAAACUGGGCAACACAUUGAAUCCCUUCACCACUGAGAAGGUUGUGGAGGAAGUAAGCUUUCUCUCCAGUGAGGAAGAGGUGGCAUAUACCUUCCCCAUUUUGUUGAGGGCAGGUAGGAAUCUUUUUUCUAAGAGAUUUACUUCGUUCUCUGUAAGAAAUGCUUUGAACUUCAUCCCUCUGUCUCUAUCCUCACUUAUCAGGAAAUAAGUUGAAAGCACUAUGAAGAGAGAGAGAGAGAGAGAGAGAGAGAGAGAGAGAGAGAAUUAAGAUAUAUAGACAAGAAAAAUAUUUGACGUUGAUCUUACAAACUAAUACUUCAAGCAGUAUCCUAGAAAGCUAAAAACUGCAAGAUGGCUUGAAAUUUGAAAAGAGCACAUGCUUUUCCUCCUUAACUUGAGAAAAUGUUUAAUAUAGUGCACCUUACAGAAGCAUUUAAGCAAUUAGAACUUUGCACAAAAACAUCAAGAAGACUAAACAAGUCAGAUGCAGUGUAUUUGUCCAAGCACAAAUUGCAUUUUUUCCUCAACUUUAAUAUUUAUUGAUGAGAAUCAAUACAGGUCCCUCAUUUGUUAUAGAAAGCUUUCUUUCUUGUAGUCUCACCAGUUAAUUCAGAGGUCUAUAAUCAUCUUGCAAAGUUAAGGGCAUUUCUUUUGAUCUAAAGUCUUUGCAUCACCACCUCAUCACACGCCAAGCCAAUAUUCCAUUUACCUCUACAACAAAAAGUUUUAAUUAAACAAUCCUAAUGCACGCAGCCAAAUAAAAUGCAGUAAGAAUAUUCAACUUAAAAAUCUGAAAGCCAACUUGGUGAAUUGCCUCCUUAGGUGAAGUUCCAUGCUUUACUAUAGUUGACAGAACUCAGCAAAAGCUUCCAUACAACAGAUUUUGAAAAUGAUGAUGCCAACAGAUACUCAUUCAAUGCAUUGAAACUCCAAAGGUUCAUUGUUCAUAGAAGUUUACAGAGUUUUGGUCAUCAAAUAGCUCAGACCUAAUCCCAAACAAAAAAUGAGUGAAAAUUAGAUCACGAGCAGCUAAUUGUAAAUUCUAACUUAACUCUUCAUCUCCUUUGUAAACAAGAAACAAAAUGGAGACACGCAAAAUGAAUAUGGAGAAAAUUUGAACUCAAAUGAAAUGAGGGCAUGAAAGCAAACAAAUGGCAUGCACCAAAAAACCAAGCCUCAAUCAAAAACUAAUUAACCAUUAAGAAAAAAAUUGGUCAGAGAAUGAACUCCAAAUUCAGGAGUCAAGCAAGAAGCUUUCAUUAUUAUCAAAGUCAAUUAUCUUUGUUAGUAUGCGAGUGUGACGACUAUAGGUUGUUCUUUUUCUAAUGUCAUAUGAUUCCAAUUUUAGGUACAGGGCAUCUCUCUCUCUCUCUCUCAUCGCUAAGUGGAUAUUUUUCUCUUUUGUCAUAUACUUUAGUUAUUCUUCAAUUUACUAACUAAAAUGAAGGCCGCUUUAUUAAGAAGUUAUAUCCAGUUAUAUAAUUUGUUGUAUUUAAUAUAUGUUUGGGCUCAUAAUUUUUUUUAAAAAUAUAUAUUUCAUUCUCCAUAAUUUUUUCCCAUCAUAGCUACGAAACGUCUUAGUUUCGACUAAAAUCCUAAAAUUGGUCCUUAAUUGAAUAUGCAUUGCAAUUUGCAAAUGUAAUAUUGUGAAUGGGACACUGGAGAUACCAAAAUGGUCAAAUGCGAAAUAAGUUAGGAUUGUACGAUGUAGUUUGUAUUCAUAUUCAAUGCCUUUUUUUUCAAAAAACAAAUUGAAAUGCCAUUACUAAACGAUUCUUGAUGAUGGGAGCCACCGUGCCAGCUUUGUCGCUGAUUUGGUAUUAUUCUUAACUUGCAGAUAGUUGUGGAUAUGAUAUGCAAAAAGGUAAGGACUAUAUCUUCUUGAUGGAGGCCUCUGAUUUUUUCCCUUCUAUGUAAUUUAGUAAAUCGCAUUUUCCCUUGUGAUUGAUAUAUCAUACCAAAGUCAAGUCUUAAAUACUGCUGUCAUAUGUUAAGGUUCAACUUCCAUUUUGAUUAACGUCCAUUUGCUGCUGCUUCCAAAAGUGAGAAUGAGAUACUUUGGUUAAUUUCAGUAGUUGAACCCAAUAGAGUACUUUAUUUAGAUCUUCAUGGUUCAAAGGCCUGAAAAAACUUGCCGGUAUUUGCAAAAUGACAUUCUGUGCUUUUAUUUAGGCUUAUUAUUUAAGUGAUAAAAACUCCCGUAACCUGCUGUCAAGAAAAUUUCAGAUUGUUAAAAGACAACAUUUUGUUUCAGCCAAAAAUGUUUGUUUCGAUUAAAGACUUGAACCAUUUUCAUUUAACCUUGAUUGUGAUGCUUUACAUUAUGCAUGUUCCUCUCAAUCAAUAAAAGUUGAGGUCAUGAUUUUAUAUUUCUAUUUUGUAACUUGAAAUAAUUGGUCUGCCUGUUUCUGUAGCUUGAUAACAUGAAUUUUUCCUUCUGAAGUUAAUUUGAUCAAUAAAGUAAUUCUUCGGAGAUGAUAUGCCCAUUCUAUAGUCAUUUUCUUAGGUAACAUGUUUUUUCUUCACUCUUCAGAGCAUGUCUAAACUAAUUGAUCGCUCAGCGGAGACUUUGGGUGAGAAGACAAAAUUUCUUGGUAAAUCCUCUAAAAAGGUAUGCAUAAUUCCCGAGUAUUAAAUAAUCAUUGGUCAUAAUUUUUGUACACAACUCUUUUUUUGGAGAUCGUUAAAAGUGGUUGAUGAUCUAUUUUGUAAUAUCAUAGAGGGAUCAUGAAUUCCUGUUCUUUUCUGUGGCUAGGCAACACUUUCGGGCCAAGCUAAGGAAAUCUAUUUUAGGUAAUGUGAAAACCAGUUGUAGGAUGUAAUAGUUUAUUAUGCCCUGACAAUAACUUUUUGUAUAAUUGUCAGUUUAAUGAAUACAAGAGGAACUCUGUUGGCAAAUUCAUCCAUGAUAGAUGCUAAAAGUAUUUAUGCAUACCAGUUGCCUUAACUAAUUUUUCUCAACACUGGUAUUGAACAGGAAAAUGAAUAUGCAAUUUGUAUAUUGUGCCAUUGUGGAGAAUUUGGAUAUUCUUAUUUAAGUAACAAGGAGAGUAUUUGCCUCAUCUUUAAACAAUGAAUCUUUGAGAAAUGAGGAGUGGGUGAUUGGCAGUGUCUUCAUGUAAAUGUUCAUUUAUUUGUAUUUUGAACUAUUAUGAGAAUCUUUGUAUGCCAAAUUAGUAAUACAAAUGUUCAGAUGAUUUUUCCUGUUGAUCAUGCGUGUGUAUCUGCACACAACCAUUGUGUCCCACUUUAUUCUGAUGCACAAAUAUCUGUAGUUUAGAAGAAAAGAAAUAAUAAUCAUAUAUUAUUGCUUGGUUCAUGAUUAUUAAACGAUUAUGGCUUUAGAAAAUCCACAAAUCCUUUGUGUUCAUAUAUGAAUGUGCGAAGUUUGCUAUCUCUUAGAUUACCUUCUUCCAAGAUAACAAGUUCAUAUAUUUUUUUUAAUCCUUUUUCAUCACAGUUGAAUUUCAAGUGUAAGUUUUGUUAUUAAUAGCUGGUUUCCUGUUAUUAUGAUUUCAUAAACAGUGAGAGGAUAUGUGCUCUACUUUUGGAGGGCCUCCACAUGAAAGAAAAUUGCAACAAUUGAAUUCUUCCGGAGGGUAUGGUAUUUAAUUUAUUUUCUCAGCUUGUUGUAAGACUAAUAUAUUUCCUUCAGUACCCAAAAGGACAGAAAUGAAUUACGGAAGGAAGUUUUUGCUGCUUUAUUUAGUGCUGCUGAGAAAUCUGAUGGAUUUCCUGAAAUUACGGUGAAGACGGAGUGGAGGUCCAACGCAUUAGGAAAGGUGGUGAGUGAACCGCCGGAGGAAUUAGUACCAGAAUACAAGGCUAAUGUGGUGCACUUGCAGCAAGAUGACCAGACCUGUAUGUGCUCUUAUAUUAACUAUAUUGGUUGGAUUUGUGAGUGUGUACAUUUUUGUGUGUAUACUCACAUUUGUAUUUAUGCAUAUUAACGUGUGUAGGAUUCUUGAUUUCUGCCACUUACUGGAGAACUAGUGGAAAGCUUUAUACUGAUAUAUGUGCUAUAACUAAUGGAAACUACAAUAUGAAUAUUUUCUCUCACCUGGAGAACUGUGUAACAGAUAUAAUUUGUGGCUCUGGAAUACUGAAGAUUCUGCAAUAACUAAUGGAAAAUAUGAUAUGAAUAUUUUUUCUCACCUGGAGAACUUUGUAACAGAUACAUUUUGUGGCUCUGGAAUGUCUAAAGAAUGCUUCAGUUUAGAUCAAAUAUCUUUUAGUUAGAAAAGAUAAAAUUCUCUGAAUCUGAAAGACUGAAACAUUUUGCAUAUUUUGUGAAAGGGAAGUAUCUGUAGAUACUAGCUCAUGCAUUGAGGUAAUAUCAAUGUUAAAGAAAAACAGCAAUAAUUUAUUAUACAGAAUUAGGUUCACUUGCUUUAAAUGCUGGUCUGAUCAACCAUAACAACCUGUAAUGGUCCUGCAGAAAUAUAUAUACGGGGAGAAACUAGCUAAAUUUUCCUUUCACUUAUGGGUUUGGUCUUUUUUUCCCCUAUUUUUCAGCUUUCCUUCUCCUGAAGUAUGUUAACAAUUGCAGAUAAUGACGAAGAGGACCGCUUCCAGGCUCUUUGUAGAGCUGUGAUGGAAUAUAGGGGCACAAUGAAAGAAUAUUGUAAGGUUGUAUGUACUUUCUCUCUUGUCAUUUAUGUUUUCUCACACAUUUUGUUUAUGCCCUGAACAUGCAGCUUUGUAUGUGUCAAUUGCCUUUUACGUUUUAAAAGCCAUAAAGUAAGAAUACAGUUCCUUGUCAGGCUAUUGAUGCGUUCGCUCAGAAGGGUCAUGUUCAAGCAGGAAAACUUCUAGAACAGGUAAGGUUUCCAUCUACAGCCAUCCAUUGACAGCAGAUAUAUUUUCAUUAAGCAGACACUGUUAGCAUUCAAGAUGCUGGCAGAUUCACUUGAUUCUUAUUAGUUUGUUUAGUGGCAAGGCAUAUAACCUGUAUUUCAAAGCCAAGUUGUGCUAUUGAUUAUGUUAACUUUAUUGUUAACAUAAAGUGAUAUGGAGGACAUAAUCAAUGUAGGAAAAUUAGGUGAAGAGAUGAUGUCAAAUCUUGAACCUCUUACAAAGCUCCAAGUUCUUUACUUGAAGAAGCUGCCAAAUUUGAAGAGCGUCUACUGGAAGGCAUUUCCAUUCCCAGAUGUAUGCAGAAUUUUUGUAUUAAUGCCCAGUUCUUAAGAACCUGCCACUGGAUUUUCAAGGGGUGGGCCAAGGUAAAAUUCUUAUCAAGGGAAAGGAAGAUUGGUGGAAAGAACUUCAAUGGGAGGAUCAAGCAACUCAGAAUGCAUUGCUUCCAUUUUUCAAAUCAACUGACAAGUGAUUGAAGGGGGCAUCAUCAACAUCAUCAACAGAGAUGGAGAGAUUCUGGAGCAGAUCAGCAGGGUUUGUAUAUGAUCUUUGGUGGUUGCUUUCUUUUGUGAUUUUUUUUUUCUUCCUGUCAUUUUAUCAUUUCUUUGUCUCUUUUUUUAUUGCUGAUGUUAGUGUAUGCUUACUGUUGCUUGACAAAGUUCGCUUGCUUCUUGUUUAUUAAAUUUUUUAUCGUCACAAAAUAUUACUUGUUCUAUUUGAGAGUGAUGUGAAUCAAUUUUCAAUUAUAUAUUUUGUGGUCAAUGUGAAUUCAAUUUCAUUUGUCUCCUGCAAUUAUGAGAAAACUGCAGAGUCAUAAUAUGGAAAAGUACACCAGCAAAAACUUUGUAAAAGCUUCGGAGUGAAACAGGGAAUUCACUUACUACUAAGAACAAUUGAUGGCGAGUUAUUCCAUUCAUUUUAUGUCCAUCUAUCUAUUUAAUUAUUAAAGAUAAAUGGUCCAUUUAUAAAUUUCAGAUUGUCUCUCUCUGAAAAUAACAAUAUUUAAAAUAUCUCUUAAAUUAUUAUAAAUUUUAAUACACUCUCGAUUUAAAAUGGAACAUGCUGAUGAAAUUGUUUUCUUCUUAAUAAAAUUGAAAUAAAUUGUGUUUGCAGUAGUUUGAAAUAUUUUAAAGAUUAUUAUUUUAUAAGGGAGUAAUAUGAAAUGAAAUUUACUUUUCAUGCGUGAAAUGUUGAAAAAGGACAAAGCAAGUGUCCCUGCUUUUAUUUUUAUUUUAAAGUGGAGUCAUCUCACAUACUUUAGCUCUAUCAUUACAAUUUUUCAGGUUACAUUUUUAUUAUUUAUUUAUUUUCUUUUUUACACAUGCAUGUGGGUUACUUUUCCGUAAGCUCCUCAAUAUAUAUUGAACCCAGCGAAGAAUGUUAUGGAAGAGCAAAUUAAUGAUAUUUCUGAUAGAGUCUAUUUGAUUAUGUAGCCUGAAUGGAUGUCUUGUUGAAAGAUAUCUCAGUGCAUUAGUUCAUCCUUGUCUGUCAAUGUGUUUUUAAUGGUUUUUCCAAUUGUUUAUUAUUAUAGAUUGAUUGUAAAUUGAUAUGAAAAUUUGAUAUGAAUUUAAUGUUGAAAUGUUUUCUCUUUAGUGGAAUGAAUUUAAAAGUGCAAAAGAUUAUUGCACACAGAGAAAUAAACAUAUAUGCUUUAUAACUUUAGCAAUCGAUUCUUUUACAGCUGGAAACAGAGAUGAUGAUUAUCAUAAGGAUGAAGAAAAGUAGUGCGUUAGACGAUUAGACUCUCUUAUUAAAGGCAAGUAUAAAGUAGUGAAGAAUCCAAUAUCUCUAUUGUCUAGUCUUUUGUUUAAUUCUUCUUUUAUUAUUUUUCAGAAUAAUUUUUGGUGAUUACAAUCGGGUUAUUAUUCAGAGUUAUUGUUAUCUUCUGGGGCAGUUUCUGUUCAUCGAAUUCAUUAAUUAAAAUUUUAGAACUCUUAUCAGAAGAAUAUUUUUCGGUUAUCUUUUUUAUGUUCUAAUUCCAAUUGUAAGAAGUAGCCAUUUUAGAAUUUGGGUCUUGAAUCGAAUUUCAAUGCAUGAAUUAAUAUUAAAAAAAAAAAAUUCACUACUCGCAGUUUAGGUUACAAAUUACUUUUUGGAAAGUUGACUUUGGAAUGUUUGCAAAGAAAGAGACUAACAUAUUUCCAAUUACACUAAAUCUCUAUUAUGAUAAUGUUAAGACUAAAUUAAUUUAAAUAAUUUUUAUUUGAAAAUUAUAUCAAACGCAGUCUAAUUUUAUUAAUUUUAAGAAAUAAUAAUUAUAAAAAUUAUUGUUCUGACUUAAUUAAUACAAGUGAUAUAAAAGUUAAGUGUGCACUAAAUCUGUUUUAAUUUUUUCCAGUAUAACUAACAGAGGUCAUUACUAGAAUUAUAUUACUAGUCUAUUAGAUAGAAAAAAUUACUUAUAUUGUUUUAUAUUUAUUAAAAAAUUUAAAGCCAAUUUUUUUAAUUACUAUUUAAAGAAUAUUAUAAUUUGAAAAAUUUUAAUAUCUUUAUUAAAAAUUUAGAAAUUUACAGUCCUCUAAAUAUUUAAGGCGUAACUGUCAUUUUCUCAAGAAGCUUUAUUUAAUAUUAUUGAUUUAAAUAAUAUCUUAUUAAAAAUGUACUGAGGAGAAAUUUUGGUGGGUAUUUUAGUCUUUUCAGCAAUCAUCAUGAUUAACCUUUGGUUGGCCUUGAAACGUCGGUCAGAAAAGUUUUAAAAUGCUUAAUUGUUUUUCACUGUUAACGUUAGUGGCCUUGAAAUUGCUUAUAUUUUAUUAAAAAUUAAUGCUAACAAGAAAAAACUAGAUCGUAUUCCACCCCCAAAGCAAAAGUGAUAAAACAACCGGCUGUAUUCUUUUAUUAAACUACAAAUUAAAAUGGAUUUCUUUAAUUAAAGUGGAUAUCAUUUAAUUAAUGUUUGAACAUUAAAGUUCUGAUAUAUAACCACUAUGCCGACCACCUAAUUGCUGCUAUUUAAUUUCGUUCCAGUUCUCUCUCUCUCUCUUUUUCUUUUUUUUUUGGGCCAAGCAAUAAAUAGUAAAAAUUCAAUAAAAGCAAUAUUAAUGCUGCAAGUGAGUCAUGUUAUUUAUUGUCAAUUAGGAAAUGUGAACCUAAUUUGAUUGCAUCCCUUUAAUCAUUUAAUAAUUAUGUAAGCACCAUCCCUUUAAUUAUUUAAUAACUAGAAAAUAGAACACUGCGUUUCACGCGGCUUUGAAAAAAGAAUUUAGUAUUAUCUUUUUUUCUUACUUUACACUUGAUGAAACUGAUAAAAAAUAUGAAUUGAUUUUUUUUAAAGAUGAGGCAGCCUUAUAAAAAAUAAAAAAAGCUAUUAGCCAGCAAUACAAAUAAAGAAGGAAUGCAAGAUAAAGAAUAAAAUGAGAGAAUAUAUUAUAGAGUGAUCUUAUUCAUUCUAAUUGUGUGUGUACAAAACAAAAAGAUGAGCUCUCCUUUUAUAACUACAUAAUUACUUCAUGAAAUUAAUGAAAAAUUAUGAAUCAUAAUUUCUUGUGAGAUAGUGGGAGUUAUUGGGAAGCUAAAAGUUGCUAAUGGGAGAUAGUGGGGAGACUAAGAGAUAUAUAUUAUGAACAUCUACAUUUAUUUUAAUAAAUUCAUAACACUCCCCCUUAAAUGUUCAUUACAAAGAAUAUGCCUCAUUAAAAUCUUUACAUAAUUGUUAUUGUGUAAUAACAAUCAAAUUAAUUAUAAGAAGAUGAAAAGCCAAAUCUAACAGAAAAUUUCUCUAUUUAUUAGAUAAUAGAGAAUAUAGCAAGAUGAGAAAUGGUAAUGCCACAUCAUCUCCUCACGUCCCAACUUUAUAUAUAUAUAUAUAGAUAAUAUAUAUUAUUCCUGUCCUACAUUCACAUAUUUAAUUGUCCUUUUGAAAAUAUUCAUGAGUUAGGCCAAGUAAAGUCAAAGAAAUUGGGAAAAAGGAACAAAAGGACAAACCUAAAUUAAUUGAACCUAAUUCAUGAAAAUGCACACUUUUGUGUUGCGGACGGCGGACCCUAAAGCUUCGUUGUUUGCAGCUGCAAUUAAUUCUUUUCCUUCAAAAGUUAGAGGCUCGUGUUUACAGUGGGUCCCGAAUCGGACGUACCUAAUAAAUCUUUUAAAAAAAUUUGCCGUAUAAAGGACAGAGGUCAUUACUGAAAUUUCUCUUCCACGGGCAAUUACAGCAGCUUCAGUUAAUCAAACUCAAAUCAAUUUUCUUUCUUAACAAAAUAUUCCAAAGAUGUGUAGCAUUUUUCAGAUCACAUGCGAUGGUGCUUUUUUCAAUCGUUGCUUGGAUUGCUUUCUUGGAAAAGCAGCAUACAUACGUAACCUCCAAGAUAAUCUUGUAGCCUUGGACACUGAAUUGGGAAAUCUGAUCGCUAAAAAGAACGAUGUGAUGAGGAGGGUUGUCGAUGCUGAACGGCAACAAAUGAGAAGGCUGGACGGAGUGCAAGUGUGGGUUUCGAGGCUCGAUGCUGUUAAAACUGAAGCCGAUGAACUUAUCACAGACGGCUCUCGAGAAAUUGAAAAAUUAUGUGUUGGAGGCUACUGUUCCAAGAACUGCAGGUCAAGCUACAAAUUCGGAAAACAAGUGGCAAGAAAGCUACGAGAUGUGGAGACUUUAAUCGCCGAGGGAGUUUUUGAGUCGGUGGCUGAGAGAGCUCCGGAACCUGUGGCAGAUAAAAGACCCACUGAGCCAACAAUAGUAGGCUUGCAAUCACAGCUUGAACAAGUUUGGAGAUGUCUUCUUGUAGAAGAAUCAGCGGGAAUCAUUGGCCUAUAUGGUAUGGGCGGUGUUGGUAAAACCACACUGUUGACCCAUAUCAACAAUAAAUUUCUUGAGAGUCCCACCAACUUUGAUUGUGUGAUUUGGGUCGUAGUUUCAAAAGACCUGCGACUUGAAAAAAUUCAAGAAGAUAUUGGGAAGAAGAUAGGUCUGUUUGAUGGUUCGUGGAAGAAUAAAAGUGUUGAGGAGAAAGCCGUAGACAUCUUGCGGAGAUUAGGAGAGAAGAGGUUUGUAUUGUUGUUAGAUGAUUUAUGGGAGCGGGUUGAUUUAACAGAAGUGGGCGUUCCACUUCCCAGCCCACAAAAAUACUACAUCAAAGUCGUAUUCACGACCCGUUUCAUUGAUGUGUGUGGUAGCAUGGAAAGUCACAGGAAGUUUAAAGUGGCAUGCUUAUCAGAAGAGGAUGCUUGGGAGCUGUUUCGAGGAAAAGUAAGGCAAGAAACUCUUGAGAGUCAUCAUGAUAUCGUUGAGCUAGCCCAAACUGUGGCCAGAGAGUGUGGCGGUUUGCCACUCGCGCUUAAAACUAUAGGUCGAUCUAUGGCCUACAGAAAGACAGCUAAGGAGUGGAGACAUGCAAUUGAAAUGUUAAGGAGAUCAGCUUCAGAGUUUGCAGGUUUGGGAGAAAAGGUGUAUCGUCUUUUAAAGUUUAGCUAUGAUAGUUUGCAGAAUGAUACGAUUAGAUCUUGUUUCUUAUAUUGUUGUUUGUAUCCUGAAGAUUAUGGCAUUCUUAAAUGGGAUUUGAUUGAUUGUUGGAUUGGUGAGGGAUUCUUAGAGGAAUCUGACAGGUUUAGUGCAGAAAACCAAGGAUACUACAUUGUGGGCACUCUUGUUCAUGCAUGUUUAUUAGAAGAGGUGGAAGAUGAUAAAGUAAAAAUGCAUGACGUUGUUCGUGAUAUGGCUAUAUGGAUAACCGGUGAAAUUGAGAAGGAGAAGCGAAACUUUUUGGUUUGUGCAGGUGCUGGAUUAAAAGAGGCACCGGAUGUUGAAGUAUGGGAAAAUGUGAGAAGAUUGUCAUUGAUGCAAAACCAAAUUGAAACUCUGUCAGAGGUUCCCACAUGCCCUCAUCUUCUCACUUUAUUUCUUGACUUUAAUAGGGAGUUGAAGACUAUUGCGGAUGGCUUCUUCCGAUGUAUGCCUUCUCUCAAAGUUUUGAAGAUGUCAAACUCUGGAAAGCCUUGGAAAGGUUUGGAAUUAAAUUUGGGGAUGCCAAAGUUGGGUUCACUACAGCUUCUUGAUAUUUCACACACCUGCAUACAAGAUUUACCGCAAGAAUUAAAGUUGUUGGUAAAUCUGAAAUGUUUGAAUUUGAGGCGGACAAUUUGGUUAAAUAAAAUUUCAUGGCAACUAAUAUCAAAUUUUUCAAGGUUACGUGUGUUGAGAAUGUUCGCUACUGGCUGGUUCAAUUUUCAUGAAGCACCAGAAGACAGCGUUUUAUUUGGUGGGGGUGAAGUUUUGAUACAGGAAUUGCUCGGUUUGAAAUAUUUAGAGGUAUUGGAGUUGACCUUGGGAAGUUAUCAUGCUCUCCAAAUUCUUUUCAGCUCAAAUAAGCUAAAAAGUUGUAUUCGAUCUCUUUACCUCCAGUUGACCGGAGAUACAGCGUUAAUUAUUGAUGCUACGGCUUUCGCAGAUCUAAAACACCUCAAUGAAUUACGCAUUGAGUCGGCUACAAAGCUGAAAGAAUUGACGGCUGAUUAUACAGAGAUAGUUCGAAAAAGGCGGGAACCUUUUGUUUUCCGCAGCCUUCACCAUGUUACUAUACAAAGCUGCCAGAAGUUGAAAGAUUCGACAUUCCUCGUUUUUGCUCCAAACCUCAAGUCUCUUUCGAUAGUCAAAUGCAAUGCUAUGGAAGAAAUAAUCAGCGUCGGAAAAUUUGCUGAGACUCCUGAGAUGAUGGGACAUAUAAGUCCUUUUGAAAAUCUCCAAAUGAUUGAUUUACUAGGUUUGCCACAUUUGAAGAGCAUCUUCUGGAAGCCAUUGCCUUUCACUCAUCUGAAAGAAAUAUCUGUGCGUUAUUGCCCUAAUCUUAAAAAGCUUCCACUCGAUUCCAACAGUGCAAAGGAGCGUAAAUUUGUUAUUCGUGGAGAAGAAGACUGGUGGAACCCACUUCAAUGGGAGGAUGAAGCCACUCAAAUUGCUUUUCGUUCCUGUUUCCAACCCUUGUUCCUGAACAGUGGUCGCAAAAUUUGAUUUCUGGUGAGUGCGUUUGUCUUUUAAAAAGAAUAAUUUAAAAGAAAUUUAUUCUUGUCGGUUUCUUCACUGUUUUUAUUUCAGUUUCUCUCUCUCUCUCUCUCUCUCUCUCUUUUUGUCUUCUGCAAAUCACAAUUACAUUUUUAUUCUUGUCGUUUUCUUCACUGUUUUUAUUUCAGUUUCUCUCUCUCUCUCUCUCUCUCUUUUUGUCUUCUGCAAAUCACAAUCAAAUGUUGAAUUAAUGGAAUUAAUGCUUCAUAAAUUUGCCGGCACUGCCAUUACUUUUUUUUGGGGGAUCGAAUUGAUACUUUAUUUAUAUCUUCUUAGCGAUUUAAUUUCCUGUCAAAAGACGAACGAGAAGAACAUAUGACUUAAACCAAUGCUCGCAUAAACUUGCUGUAAAAAGAUAUAAUCUCACUGAAAUGCACACGCCUAGAAUGAAUAGAAUUAAAACAGGGAAAAUAUUAAGUAUAUUAGCCCUCUUUACUGAAAAUCAAAUGACAGUAAAUUUUUUGAAGUUUUGAUUUUCUAUGGUCAAUUCCACCUUUUGCAAUUUCUUCUGUUCUAACAAAAACCAAUUUCUUUGUUCAAGUAUUUUCGUUUGGAUAUUAAUAAUUCUCCACCGAAAGAGUGAACUCUUGCUCAAAGGGAUCUCUAAUAAUACAUAACAUGAUUAUUUUCGUUUGAAUAAUUGAUUUCUUGAUUGAAUUGUCGUGUAAUUGAUUUAUGGGGGAUGACACAUCAACAUACUUGAAAAUACACUAAUCUCAGCAUCAUCGGUUAAUAACUUUUAGAUUUAUGGGUAAUCAAUAGUUAAGAUUAGUUGUCAUUAAUACUAAAUAAUUUUUACUUUUUUUGUCUCUUCUAGAGGAUCUUCUAGAAAAAUGCAUCCACAAUUAAAUUUAAUACUUUACAUAAUAAACAAAGCCUAAAUGUUAAAUUUAAGAAACUGCAUUGUAUUUCAGUUGAAGUUGACUUUAAUAUUUAGGGUAGAAAAACAAUUAAUUUUAUUUUUUGAAAUGUCCAUAUUCAGAGCACAUUUCAAAAAGACUCAAUAAUUUCUCAUAAAUUUCAAUUAAAAAUAUUCAAUUUGUUGUUUCAGUUCUUUUAUUUUUUAUUUUUUCCGACAUGAAAGCGACUUAAUGUUACUAAAUUGGGUGGUCUUUGGAUUUUCAUGACCCAAUAAUUGGAACAAAACAAUUUUCUCAAGCGCUCUCCCGCAACAUUUUAUAAUUGAAGCCGCUGCCCCGCCCGUGGUUUCAAACUUUUUUCUUUCUCCUUGUUUAAAUUAAUGGGAGCAGCCUCCGUCCUUGACUAGUUGACUGCUUGUCUUCUUUUUUUUAUUAAUUAAUUAAUUCAGCCGCCCCCCUUUCUUGUCCCAAUAUCUUCUACUUUCGGUUUCCUUUUAUUAUCUCUUUAUUUUUAAAAAAUGCUUAUAAUAAUAAUAAAAUAUAAAAUAUAAAAAUAAAAAUAUAAUUUAUCAGAAAAUUAAGAUAAAGAAAUAUUAUAAGCACAUCAAUCAACAAGUGAAAAAAAAACAAUUUUAAUUUACAUUAAAUAUAAACUUUCAGUGUUAAUCAACUUUUCUAAAUAACUAAAUUAAAAAAUUAAUUGAUUUAAUUGUGGUGUAAUUGAUUUGUAGGGGAUGAAUCAGCAGCAUCAUCGGUUAACGCUUUCAGAUUUAUAGUUAAUCAAUAGUUGAGAGUUGUUAUCACUAACGCCGUGUAUUUUUUAAUGUUUUUUCUCUCUCCUACAGCAUCUUCUAGGAAAGUGCAUCCGUUGCUAAAAUUUAGUAUCGUAAAUAAUAAACCAAGAAUAAAUAUUAAAUCUAAGAAACUGUAUUGCAUUUAAUAUUUAAGGGAGAAAAAUAAUUAUAGUGUCUUUAUUAAUCAGUAAAAAAAAAAAUUAGAAUCAUAAUAAAUUGUAUUGUUAUUGAUGUAUUUAUUUUAUUUUAUACUCAAAAUAAAUUAUUUUAAAUUAUUAAAAUAAUUUAAAAUUAGUAUUUUAUUUUAUACUCAAAAUAAAUAAUUUAAAAUUUUCAUUUCUUGUUUAUUUCGCAAGUUGUUAUUGCCUAAUGCUAUGUCAACUCGAACAUUAGCAUUUUUUUUUUUGGUCCUCUUUUAACGCAAAAUUAGUGUAGGUUAAGUAACAUAAUCAAUAUUAGGACAAUUUGAAAUCCCUAUGGGUGCGUUUGGUACACUGUAUUGUAUUAUACUGUAUUGCAUUAUUUUAAUGCUGAUGUAUUGUAUUAUGUUGUAUUGCAUUAGCACUGUAUUAUAACAAUGCUAUACAAUAUUUGGUGUUACAUUGUACUGUAUUAGAUUUUAAUUAUAUUAUAUUUAGUGUUACAAUUGUUGUAACAUAAACACGACCAAAAUAAAUUGUACUAAAUAAUCUAAGUAAGAGUUCUGUAGUAUAUGUAAUAAUACUAUUUAUAUUAUUAUUAUUAAUAAUUCUAAAUUAAUAUUAUUUAAUUUUAUUCAUAUUUAAAUAUGUAUUAUUAGUUUAUUAAAUUAUUUAAAAUAAUUAAUUUAUAUAUAUUAAUUAUUGUAACUUAAUUAAAUAAUGUAAUGCUAUAUUAUAUUUUUAUAUACUAUUUAAGUAUUUAUUAUUAAUUAUAUUUAAUUAUAAAUUUAUUAAUAAAUUAUAAUAUAAAAAUAAAAAAUAAAAAUUAAUAUUGUAUAAUAUUAUAUUAAAUUAAAGUUUUAUUUUUAUUACUAUUAUUAUAAAGUAAAAAAAAAAAAAAGGGAAGCUACUGACUUUUGAAACACAAAAGUCAGUAAUACAACCUAAUCACGAGGGGGGGCGCGGGUUUUGAUAAUGCGGCAAAAGCUGCAUUGUAAUGCUGCUCAAUGCAAUCCAUUUGAUCACCAAACACAGGUAUAUUUUAACUAAUGCUGGGCCCACAAAAUAAUACAAUGCAAUUCCGCAUGCCAAACAUACCCUAUGGGUGCGUUUGGUACACUGUAUUGUAUUAUACUGUAUUGUAUUAUUUUAAUGCUGGUGUAUUGUAUUAUGCUGUAUUGCGUUAGCAUUGUAUUAUAAUAAUGUUGUACAAUGUUUGGUGUUACACUGUACUGUAUUAAUUUUUAAUUAAACUAUAUUUGGUGUUAUAUUGUAUUGUAUUAAUUUUUAUAAUUAAUUAAAUUAAAUAAUUAAAAAAUAAUAUUUAUUAAUACUUAGAAAAAUAAUAAAUAUAGAAAUCUUAAUUGUAGAAAUUUAACAAAUUUUUUAGUAAAUAUUAAAAAUUAAUGAUUAAAUUUCUAAAAUUUGUAUUAUAAUUAUGAUAAAAUAAAUUUAUAAAAUUUAAUAUUAUAUGUAAAUAAUAAAUUUAGAUUAUAAUUAAUAUUAUAAUUGUUAAUAUAAAUUAAUAAAUUAUUAUUCAAUAAUAUUCAAUUAUAUUUUAAUUUACAAUAUAUUAUUAUUUUUACAUUUUAAUAUAUUAAUAAAUUUAUAAUUUAACAUAAAUAAUUAUAAAUUUAAAUAAUAUUAAUUUUAAAAUUAAUAUUAAUGUAAAUAAUAUUAUAAUAUUAAUAUAUUAUUUUUAUAUGAAUCAUUAAUAAAUAAAAUAAUAUUAUCAUAUAAUUUAUUUUUAUAUUUUAUUCAUUAUAUUAAUAUUUAAUAAUAAAAUAAUUUAUUUUUAUAAUAUUUUAAUAAAAUAAAUUUGCCUCAAUUGAGGCAUUAACUGUUGCCUCAAUUGAGGCAAAAAGCUUCCGCAUCCCUCGGGUUUGCGUAAUGCGGCCCCAUGCCUCAUUAUGCUGCAUUAUAAUGCAGCAUAAUGAGGUGUCAAAUUUUGCCAAACAUGUUCUUGGUAAUAAACUAAUGUGAAUAGUAGUAUAAUACCACAUAAUCUCAUGCACCAAACACGCCCUAUGUGUAUUAUUCACGGUAUCUAUGAGGGCUUAUCCUUUUGCUAGAACAAACUCUAGCAAAUUGUCAAAUGUGCUUAUCCUUUCCCUUGACGACUCAUUUUAAAAUUGUCACUCAUUUUAAAAUUGUCUUUCAAUGCACAAACACAGACAUAACCGCCGACAUCGAGCACCAAGUUUGGAAUUUAAUUGAUAAGCAUACAUUUGAUAAAUUAAUGAAAAGUUUGGAGAGUAGUUUUGAUCACCCUUGAUUAGGACGGUAUUACAAAAAAGAUCAAAAAGAAAACAUCGUCUCUCUUCACAAAAAUAAAUAUUUUCCGUUAGAAUUUAAUACAAUAAUAUUUUUUUUGAUUAAAAUUUAAUUAAAUACACAAAUAAAUUAUAUAUUUUUUAAAAAAAUUUACACCCAGUCACAAGGCUGGCUAUUAAACUUAAAGGGUGGAAGCUUCGGAGACUAAAGUUGGUAACUUCUCCAAGUGGUCUUAAGUUGACCGGAACUACCCAGACUUUAUGUUUGGUAGCCUAGACCUGAUCGGACCUAGGCCCAAGUUUGGUCUUAAAGUCCACAAUUAAAUUAAAAAAAAAUUAUUUGAUUUGUAAUUGAUUUAUGGGGAAUGAAUCCGCAGCCCUAAAAUUACACCAAUCUUGACAUAAUGACAUCAUCGGUUAAAAACGUUCAGAUUUAUGGUUAAUCAAUGGUUUGAGAUUUGUUAUCAUUAAUGCUAGAUAUUUUUUAACAUUUUUUUCUAUCUCUCUUCUCCUGAAGGAUUUUCUAGGAAAAUGCAUCCACAACAAAAAUUUUAAAUUGUAAACAAUAAACAGAGUAUAAACGUUAAAUCUAAGGAACAUCGCUGCAUUUCAGCUGAAGCGAACUUUAAUAUUUUACGGAGAAAAAUAAUUAAGUCUUUAAUGUGAUUUAUUGAUUAAUAUAUAUGACUAAUUUUUUAAAAGAAGAUGAAGGAUGAAGCUUAAAAAUAUAAAUUAUAGAAUUAAUUUAUCUCUUCAAUAAAUCUAAAGUUUAUUUUUUUUAUUACAUGCUUCUAUUUUAUUUUUAUUCCAUGUUAAUGAAUGGAGAUUUAAAUCCAUUUUGGAUUUAUAAAGAUGUUUAGAUAUUUAAAUCCACGUGUGAUUCCAAACUUGAACCUUUUUUUUUUUUUUUUCUAAUUAAUGCAAACAGCCGCCUCUUUGACUGCUUUUCUUCUUUGUUUAUUAAUUAAUUAAUUCAGCUGCCCACCUUUCUUUUCCUAAUGUUUUCUACUCCCAAAUUUUUUUAAGGACAAGGCUACGUUGCAGACGCUGUACCUAACAGCUGCACCUUCGCCAGCUUAAAAAAGGGUGCAUUUGGUAAGCAACUUUUCUUUCGUGUGCAUAUGUGUCCUGCCACCAUUGGGUGUGUACGUAACAGAUAAUGUACCGUAACAAGCUCCUAUUUUUAAAUUUGUUUAUAAUGAUAAAAUAUAAAAAUUAAGAUUAAAAUGUAAUGUAAUGUAAAAUUAAAGGUGGAAGAGUAUUAAAAUAAGGCUAAACCUAUGUUACGUUUAACGUAACAUACAUUUAAAUAUAUAAAAUAUCAAUGGAAACCCUCAAAUUUUAUGGAAACUAUAUUAAUAAAAUUAAAAGAAAUAUUUUUAAAUCUGAAAGAAGAAAUAAAAGAUAUAAAGCAAGAGAUAGGAAAACUAAAAAUAGAAAUAUCUGUAAAAGAAAAAGGAAAAGAAAAAUUAGAAAUAAAAGAAACAACUCCAACUGAAUCGAAUUCAGACUAAUGGAAGAUGUAUUAGAAACUUUAACUGAAAAAUUCAGUGACAUAAAUCUUAGUGAUUUAGAAGACUUUGAAAAAGAAUAUUAGAUAAAAAUGAAUACUGCUGGAGGACCAGAAAUGAAACCUAAUGUAGCAUAACCAAGUCAUAGAUAUGGUAUAAAUAAAAUGAAAAAUAAACCUUUUUACGAGUAUAUACCUCCUAUUAAAAAUACUCCUUGGAAAAAAGAAUACAAACCAAAUCAAGAUACAUUAACCCCAAUAAAUAAUGCUGGAACAUUUUUAAAUCUAGAUUGUAAGAUAGACAUUCGAAAGGCGUUAGCAGAAUGGGUGUUACAAAUGAAAUUAUUUUUUAUAUUUAACGGGUCAAAGGAUGACUAGAAUGUAGAGACUGAAGAAGAAAAAAUAGAUAUAUUUGUUGAAAUCUUAAUAGCCAGUUUUUCAGGAAAUGUGUUUAAUUGGUGGAGAGGAUUAAGCGAUGAUACACAAAACUUAAUAAAAGAUUCAACCAAAUAGCAUUUAGAAAAAAUAAAGCCUUAGGAAUGGAAAGGAUAACUGAAUACAUAGCUAGUGAAUUUUUAGGAGAAGAUUGGCUAGAAAAAUCGGGCAUAUAUGAAAAUUUAAAAAUUUAUGAUAAAAAGAUCUUAGUGUUUUUAUUAAAAAAUUAAAAUUUACAUGACUAUUUCUUUAAAUAUUUAGGGCAUAUAUGAACCACGGAGGAGAAAAGCUUUAUUUAAUAUUUUAGAAUAGUUUUUGAUCAGUACAAUUGGGUCCUUAUUCAGAAUUAUUGUUCUCUUCCGCAACAGUUUUUGUUUAUCAAAGUCGUCAAUUAAAAUUUUAGAAUUCUUAUCAGAAGAAGUAGUCGUUUUAGAAGUUGGGUCUUGGAUCAAAUUUCUACGAGUGCAUGAAUUAACAAUAAAAAAAUUUCAUUACACACGGUUUAAGCUACAAACUACUAUUUGCACAGUUGACUAUAAAACUUACCUCCAAUUACACUAAACCUCUCUAUUUGGUAACGUUGAGACUAAAUUAAUUUUAUUAGCAUGAAAAGAUGAUAGAAAUAUAAUUAUAAAUAUUAUUGUUGUUAAUCAAUUAGUACAUGUGAUAUAAAGGUUAAAUGUGCACUAUAUUUAAUAAUUAAUUAGUGGAGCAUGUUAAACAAAAUGUUAAUGUAUAUUUAUAUAGUGUUAGGAAUAUGCAAAGUCAAGUCCUCAAUUUGCAUUAUCCUGUAUAGAAUAUUACUCUAAAAAUGUUUUACUAUAAUUGGCUUAGAACAUUUGUAAAGAAAAAUAAUAAUAAAAUAAUAAAUAACAUACACCGUCACAUAGCACCUAGACAAUGAUAGAAAAUUAUUAAAGAGAGUGCAAACAAUUAAUUAGAGAUUUUUAUGAUGACUUUUAAUAUUCAUGAUAAUAACAAAUAAAUACAUGUAUCACUUUUUUAAAAUAUUAAAUUUGACUGCUCCAUUAAUAAAUUAUUAUUGUAAUUCAGACUCUAUCUAUAUAUCCUUGCACUAAGAAUAAUUAAGGUAACGUUUGUUUUUUAACUUAAUGACUUAAAGUGACUUAACUUAAUUAAUUAAGUUAAUUAGAGGUGUUUGUUUUAUAACUUAAUGAGACUUUUUAGAUAAUUUUGACUUAAUAAAAUAAGCUAAUUUUUUUUGGCUUUUUACUUAAUGGAGAAAUCUGAAUUAAGUCAAUUACUUGCUAAUGUCAAAAAUAUCCUUGUUUUAUAAUUUAUUUUUCAUGUCUAUCCCAAAACUCGCCCGUAGAUAUUUACCCCACAUAAAAAUAUCCCUGUUUUUUUCUUUCUUAUAUUAUAUACGAUAAAAUUUGAAAUUUAUAGUAUUUUAUAUAUUAAAAUUCUAAAAUAAUUAUGUAUUCACUUGAAUAUAGUUUUACUUAUAAAUGUUAAAAUAUGAUGGUAUUUAAUAUAUUAUUUAUUUGACAUUCAAAUUUAAUAAGGAUACAAAUGUAAAAGUACAUAUUUUCAGCUUUUUAAAUUGAAAAAAAAUAACUUAAUAUUUAUUUUCUGAGAUUCAGACGAAAAAAUAAACAUAUUAUUCAGAUUCAUACAUUCAGAUCUAUUCAGAAUUCAAACUAAUUCAAGUCUAUUCAAAUUUUAGACAAAAAAAUAAACGCCACCUAAGUCAUAAUAAAAAUUUUCGUAACUACAUCUCGUUUCUUCCUCAUAAUAAUAAUUAGAUUGGUUCGAAUAUUAUAACUAUAUAGAUUUAGUGUAUAGCCACAUCCAAUUUAAAUAUUGACCCAAUUGGGAUGGUCCCCAAAAAAAAAGAUUCGUUAAAGGAUAAUUCUAAUUAUUUUUACUUCUCAAACGUUAGUGGGACGUUUCUAUUAGCGCACUCGUAAGCCAAGUUGUCAAAUAUUUAUACUAAACUACAAUUGCUAACAAGAAAAAUCAAGAUCGUGUUAAGCAAGUGGGUCCCGAAUAGGACGUGCAAAUCUCUCGUAAGUCAAGUUGUCAAAUGUUUAUAUAAAACUAACAAUUACUGACAAGAAAAAUCAAGAUCGUAUUAAAAAUGGGUCCCGAAUAGGAUUAUCUUUUUAAGAAUAUUAUUAUUUUAUUAUUAAAAUUUUAUUAAUAUAACAGUAUUAAAAUUUAUUAAAAAAUAUAUUUUAUUAUUAAAAUUUUAUACCGUUAUCAAUUUAUUAUUAUUUUAUUAAAAAAAUUAAUAUUUAACAAAAAUUGAGAUAAAAAUUAAUUUUUGUUCUCUGUCUUUAUUUAUUUAUUUAUUUUUUUGGGUCUUCUGCAAAUCACAAUCAAAUGUUGAAUUAUAAAUUUGCCGGCAUUGCUUUUUUUUUUUUUUUUGGGCCGGGGGGUGGUGUUGAAUUGAUGCUCUGGGUUUUUGACUUUUGUUGUCAAAUUUUACUCUGUUUUUCCCAAAUUGAUGCUANNNNNNNNNNNNNNNNNNNNNNNNNNNNNNNNNNNNNNNNNNNNNNNNNNNNNNNNNNNNNNNNNNNNNNNNNNNNNNNNNNNNNNNNNNNNNNNNNNNNNNNNNNNNNNNNNNNNNNNNNNNNNNNNNNNNNNNNNNNNNNNNNNNNNNNNNNNNNNNNNNNNNNNNNNNNNNNNNNNNNNNNNNNNNNNNNNNNNNNNNNNNNNNNNNNNNNNNNNNNNNNNNNNNNNNNNNNNNNNNNNNNNNNNNNNNNNNNNNNNNNNNNNNNNNNNNNNNNNNNNNNNNNNNNNNNNNNNNNNNNNNNNNNNNNNNNNNNNNNNNNNNNNNNNNNNNNNNNNNNNNNNNNNNNNNNNNNNNNNNNNNNNNNNNNNNNNNNNNNNNNNNNNNNNNNNNNNNNNNNNNNNNNNNNNNNNNNNNNNNNNNNNNNNNNNNNNNNNNNNNNNNNNNNNNNNNNNNNNNNNNNNNNNNNNNNNNNNNNNNNNNNNNNNNNNNNNNNNNNNNNNNNNNNNNNNNNNNNNNNNNNNNNNNNNNNNNNNNNNNNNNNNNNNNNNNNNNNNNNNNNNNNNNNNNNNNNNNNNNNNNNNNNNNNNNNNNNNNNNNNNNNNNNNNNNNNNNNNNNNNNNNNNNNNNNNNNNNNNNNNNNNNNNNNNNNNNNNNNNNNNNNNNNNNNNNNNNNNNNNNNNNNNNNNNNNNNNNNNNNNNNNNNNNNNNNNNNNNNNNNNNNNNNNNNNNNNNNNNNNNNNNNNNNNNNNNNNNNNNNNNNNNNNNNNNNNNNNNNNNNNNNNNNNNNNNNNNNNNNNNNNNNNNNNNNNNNNNNNNNNNNNNNNNNNNNNNNNNNNNNNNNNNNNNNNNNNNNNNNNNNNNNNNNNNNNNNNNNNNNNNNNNNNNNNNNNNNNNNNNNNNNNNNNNNNNNNNNNNNNNNNNNNNNNNNNNNNNNNNNNNNNNNNNNNNNNNNNNNNNNNNNNNNNNNNNNNNNNNNNNNNNNNNNNNNNNNNNNNNNNNNNNNNNNNNNNNNNNNNNNNNNNNNNNNNNNNNNNNNNNNNNNNNNNNNNNNNNNNNNNNNNNNNNNNNNNNNNNNNNNNNNNNNNNNNNNNNNNNNNNNNNNNNNNNNNNNNNNNNNNNNNNNNNNNNNNNNNNNNNNNNNNNNNNNNNNNNNNNNNNNNNNNNNNNNNNNNNNNNNNNNNNNNNNNNNNNNNNNNNNNNNNNNNNNNNNNNNNNNNNNNNNNNNNNNNNNNNNNNNNNNNNNNNNNNNNNNNNNNNNNNNNNNNNNNNNNNNNNNNNNNNNNNNNNGAAGGGUCUCUAAUCAAUAGCUGGAAGCAAUUGAGAAGGCGGUUGCUACAGUGAAUUCAAAUGUAAAAUGUUUGCUAUUCUUCGAUUUGGUUAAUGAUUUCGUAUGAAUAUUGUUGUUCCGUUGAGUUGCAUGCGAAUUCAAAUGCAAAAUAUUCUUCGAUUUUCAAUUUUGAAAUCAAAUUUUUUUUUCCUUCUCAAGCAUGUUAUGCAGAAACGAUUGUCAUGUUAUGCAGAAACGAUUUUUACUAAAUCAUUUUUAACAAACUAUUGAAAUUAAACCACUGGAAUAAGAAUUGUAAGGAUUUAUCGUAAGCUUACUAAUACGAUAAUUCUGAAACUAUCACCUUUUUUUUUUUAUUUGUUGCAGGGAAACCCAAAUUUUGUAUUUUGUCAAUUUCAUCUGAUAUGGAAUUUAUUUCCUCCCUAAAGAUUUAUCAAACUGCUUCUCUUCCCUGCUUCAAUAUCUUUAUGCAAUUACGAUCUCAUAGGAAAAGAGAGUUUGGGUUGUAUAUCUUAUAGUAUUUAUUUAUUUUUUGUUAAAAGAAAUUUAUUUUAAAAUAGUUUAUAGCAACAGUUUUUAUUUAACAAUAAUGAGGAAGGAUUAUUAUAGGUUCAAAUAGUUGUUAGAACAUUAUAAAAAAGUCCAUUUACUAUCAAAUGUUUUAAAUUGGUGCAACGUGAUAAUUGUCUCAUAUAAUUUUUUAAGGGUAAAAACUCGUUUCAUUCCCAUAUUUUAAGAUUAUUACUCAUUUAGUCUUUAUAUUUUUAAAAAUGUUUCAAAACAUUCAUACCCUUAAAUUAUUAACAUCUCUGCUGUUACUUUUUAUUUUUUUUUGACUUGUUUUUACAAUAUUGCCCUCUUACAAUAAUGUUUCUUUUUAUAAAAUUAAUAAAAAGAAAAAAAAUUAAAUUAUCAAUUUAACCCCAAAAAUAAAAUAAAAAUAAAAAGAAUAAAUAUUAAUUUUUGUGAAAGUUUACAUGUGUCCAAAAUAAAUUUUAUUGUAAAAAUAAUUAAAUUGCCUUUUUUUUGGACAUUAGUAAUAAAAAAAUUAAUAUAUUAAUUCCUCAGCAGUGUGUUACAAAAAAGUAAAAUAUAUUAAUUUUGUUUUUAUUUUAGACAAUGAGAUAGAGAAAAGUACAAGAUAAAGGAAAGGACUUCAAAACUCACUGUUCAUCAUAAUGCCCUUUGCCUUUAAAAAAAAAUCAUUCUAAUAUUUUAUAACACAUAAAAUAUAAUCCUAAGAUAAAUAUAAUAAUACAUAUUUUAAACUAAUCUCGAUAUUUAAAAUAUGUUUUAAUAUUUUAUAAUCUAUCAGACAUAUUUUAUUAUAUUAAUGUAAAAUUUAUAAUAAAUACAAACAUAUUAUUAAAAUAAAUAUAUAAAAAAUAUUUAUUUUUUAUAUGUUUACACUGAGGACUCUCUUUAAUUCAUUUAUUUUCUCUCUCUCCAAACAGGUACUGUCUUCAGUUAGCAAUGCUAUGAUAGUAAUCCAAUUCUCUUCUCCCCCACCUGAGCGAGAUUUGAAUUUGAAUCCCUUGUUUUUCACCCACUCUGUUUUUUUUCACGCAAGAUUUGACAAUUUGAGUUAAAAAAUAUGGUCCAAAACUUGAACACGUAUCUUUUAAUUGUAAUAAAAGUUCUUUAAGCUUUGGAGAUGGCAUAUAUAUGGCUGGAAGUGUCCUUUUCUUUGACCUAGAGGCAGCACCAAGCUAUCCAGCAUCAUCAUUUUUCAAGUGGGUCUUAAAUGCCUAGAAACGUUGGUGUUUCUUGAUUUAAAGAUGACACAUGCUAUAAGUGUGAAUGGUUUGGCUAAGCCUAAAUUUAAAGUCUACUCAAGUCGCAUUCAGGAUCAUGGAAAUUGGAAAGGGAGAGAUGAUAGCAAGAUUUAUAAUAAACAAUUAACUUGGGUCCUCAGUGUACAAAGCAAAUGCCACGCAAGCGAUAGCCGGCCCAGCCCAGAAAACCCAGUGGCGAUCCCAGAGAUGGCCUCCUCUAACGAGUGCUGGGCCCAAAAAUCUUUGCGGGUUGAGCCCAGCUCCGGCAUAGCCCUUUUGAGCAGUAACAGUUGUCGAGACAAAAACCAGAAGACCCAACACUGUUCCAAUGACAAUGCAUACGGUAAACUCUGCCAAGAGCCUUGGCUUGUCUGGAGUCAAAAGCCAUCCACACAGAAGCAAAAAGGAACACAAACGAGCAAAUUAUCUCAAGCCAAAGGGCCUGCCUAGUCCCCAAGCCGAUCUCAACAGGCCCAUCUGGCCCAGGUACGACAACAUUCAGGGUGCAGCCUCCAAGUUGUCAAAUAUUUAUAUUAAACUACAAUUGCUGACUAGAAAAAUCAAGAUCGUAUUACAAGUGGGUCCCGAAUUGGACGUGCCUAAAUCUUUUUAUAAUUUUCCCAGUGUAGCGGACAGAGGUCAUUACUAAAUUUCUCUUCCACACGCCACAGCAGCUUCGGUUAAUCAAACUCAAUCAAUUUUCUUGGCUUCUCCGCUUAUCAAUAUUACAAGGUAUGGGUAGCAUUUUUCAAAUCACAUGCGAUGGUACUAUUUUCAAUCGUUGCUUAGAUUGCUUUCUUGGAAAAGCAGCAUACAUAAGUAACCUCCAAGAUAAUCUUGUUGCCUUGGAGACUGAACUAAGGAAACUAAUCGCAGCAAAGAACGAUGUGAUGACGGCGGUUGUCAAUGCUGAACGGCAACAAAUGAGAAGGCUGGACCAAGUGCAAGUGUGGGUUUCGAGGGCGGAUGCUGUUAAAAAUGAAGCUGAUGAACUUAUCAGAGGCGGCUCUCAAGAAAUUGAAAAAUUAUGUCUUAGAGGGUUCUGUUCCAGGAACUGCACGUCAAGCUACAAGUUCGGAAAACAAGUGGCUAAAAAGCUACGAGCUGUGGAGACUUUAAUCGCCGAAGGAGUUUUUGAGGCGGUGGCUGCCGAGGUGGUGCCUGAGAGAGCUCCAGAGCCUGUAGCAGAUGAAAGACCUACCGAGCGAACAGUAGUAGGCUUGCAAUCACAACUUGAACAAGUCUGGAGAUGUCUUGCAGAAGAAUCAGCGGGAAUCAUUGGCCUAUAUGGUAUGGGCGGUGUUGGUAAAACUACACUAUUGACCUAUAUCAACAAUAAAUUUCUCGAGAGUCCAACCAACUUUGAUUGUGUGAUUUGGGUAGUAGUUUCAAAAGACCUGCGACUUGAAAAACUUCAAGAAAAUAUUGGGAAAAAGAUAGGUUUGGUUGAUGAUUCAUGGAAGAGUAAAAGUGUAGAGGAGAAAGCUCUCGACAUCUUCCGGAGUUUAAGAGAGAAGAGAAUUGUAUUGCUGUUAGAUGAUAUAUGGGAGCGGGUUGAUUUAACAAAAGUGGGCGUUCCACUUCCAGGACCACAAAAUACUACCUCAAAAGUCGUAUUCACAACCCGUUUGAUCGAUGUUUGUGGUAGCAUGGAAGCUGACAGGAAGUUCAAAGUAGCAUGCUUAUCAGAAAAGGAUGCUUGGGAACUGUUUCGAAAAAAAGUUGGGGAAGAAACUCUUGGAAGUCAUCAUGAUAUCGUUGAGCUAGCCCAAACUGUGGCCAAAGAGUGUGGUGGUUUGCCACUCGCACUUAUUACUAUCGGUCGAGCUAUGGCCUACAAAAAGACAGCCGAAGAGUGGAGACACGCAGUUGAAGUUCUAAGAAGAUCAGCUUCGGAAUUUGCAGGUUUGGGAAAAGAGGUGUAUCCUCUUUUAAAGUUUAGCUAUGAUAGUUUGCAGAAUAAGACGAUUAGAUCUUGUUUCUUAUAUUGUUGUUUAUAUCCUGAAGAUUAUGGCAUUCUUAAAUGGGACUUGAUUGACUGUUGGAUUGGUGAGGGAUUCUUAGAGGAAUCUGACAGGUUUGGUGCAGAAAACCAAGGAUACUACAUUGUGGGCACUCUUGUUCAUGCGUGUUUACUAGAAGAGAUAGAAGAUGAUAAAGUAAAAAUGCAUGACGUUGUUCGUGAUAUGGCUCUAUGGAUAGCUUGUGAAAUUGAGAAGGAGAAGAGAAACUUUUUGGUUUGUGCAGGUGCGGGACUAAAGGAGGCACCUGAUGUUAAAAGAUGGGAAAAUGUGAGAAGAUUGUCAUUGAUGCAAAACCAAAUUGAAACUUUGUCAGAGGUUCCUGCAUGCCCUCAUCUCCAUACUCUAUUUCUUGCCUCUAAUAAUAGUUUGCAGAGGAUCACCGAUGGCUUCUUCCAAUUUAUGCCUUCUCUCAAAGUUUUCAAGAUGUCAAACUGCGGGAAUUUAAUUUUGGAAUUACCUUUUGGGAUGUCAAAGUUGGGUUCAUUGGAACUUCUCGAUAUUUCACAUACCUACAUACAAGAGUUACCACAAGAGUUAAAGUUGUUGGUAAAUCUGAAAUGUUUGAAUUUGAGGUGGACAAGCGAGUUAAAUAAAAUUCCACGGCAGCUAAUAUCAAAUUCUUCAAGGUUACGUGUGUUGAGAAUGUUGGGUACUGGCUGGUUCAAUUUUCAUGAAGCAUCAGAAGACAGCGUUUUAUUUGGCGGGGGUGAAGUUUUAGUACGGGAAUUGCUCGGUUUGAAAUAUUUAGAGGUAUUGGAGUUGACCUUGCGAAGUUAUCAUGCUCUCCAAAUUGUUUUGAGCUCAAAUAAGUUAAAAAGUUGUAUUCGAUCUCUUUACCUCCAGUUGACCGGAGAUAGAAAGUCGAUUAUUGAUGCUACGGCUUUCGCAGAUCUAAACCACCUCAAUGAAUGAUUGAUUUUUAAAGGUUUUGAGUUGGAAGAAUUGAAGAUUGAUUAUACAGAGAUAGUACGAAAAAGGCGGGAACCUUUUGUUUUCCGCAGCCUUCACCGUGUUACCAUAGAUUCGUGCCUUAAAUUGAAAGAUUUGACAUUCCUCGUUUUUGCUCCAAACCUCAAGUCUCUUUCGCUAUUCAAUUGCCGUGCUAUGGAAGAAAUAAUCAGCGUUGGAAAAUUUGCUGAGGUUCCUGAGAUGAUGGGACAUAUAAGCCCUUUUGAAAAUCUCCGAAGUCUUCGUUUGUCACAUUUGCCAAAUUUGAAGAGCAUCUACUGGAAGCCAUUGCCUUUCACUCAUCUGAAAGAAAUGGUGGUACAUGGGUGUGAUCAGCUUAAAAAGCUUCCACUCGAUUCCAACAGUGCAAAAGAGCGUAAAUUUGUUAUUCGUGGACAAGCAGACUGGUGGGACCGACUUCAAUGGGAGGAUGAAGCCACUCAAAUUGCUUUUAGUUCCUGUUUCCAACCUUAACUUGAUUUCUGGUUAGUGCUGUUUCCUUAACUUUUACAUAUAUUCUCGUCGUUUGCUUCGUGCAAAAUACUAGGUCUUUUGUUCUCUGUUUUUAUUUCGCCCAUUUUUUUUUUUUUUUUUUGUCUUCUGCAAAUGACAGACAAAUGUUGAACUAAAAGGAAUUAAUGCUUUAUAACUUUGCCGGCAUUGCUUUUUUCUUUUUCUUUUUUGAUUUUUUGGGGCGAGGGGGGAUCGAAUAGAUGCUCUGGUUUUUGACUUUUUGUUGUCAAAUUUUACUCUGUUUUUUUCAAAUUGAUGCUUGAAUAUUUGAAUCAAAUUAAUGCUCACGUAAAUUUGUUCAGUUGCCGUAAAAGGAUAUAAUUACACUGAAAUACACAAACUCUAGAAUGAAUAGAAUUAAACAGAGAAAAUCUUGAGUAUAUUAGCCGUCUUCACAUAAAAUCAUAUGAAAAUUAAAUUUUGAAGUUUUUAUUUUCUAUUUUUAAUCAUACCCUUUAUAAUUUCUUCUGUUCUAACUACAAUAAAAUUUUUGGUUCAAGGAUUUUUAUGAGGGGUAUUAAUAAUAGUCCACCAAAAGAGUGAACAGUUGGAUGCUGCCCUAAGGGUCUCUAAUCAAUAGCUGGAAGCAAUUGAGAAGGCGGUCGUUACUGUGUACAAAGCCAUGCAGUAUUUGCUAUUCAUCUUAGUAAUUAUGAAGCUUUGGUAAAAUUUUCAAACAAAGUUGACAUGUUAUUUUGAGAUUUGGUUCAUGAUUUUGUAUGAAUAUCGUUGUUCCAUUGAGUUGUAUAUGAAUUCAAAUGUAAAAUAUUCUUUGGUUUUCAAUUUUGAAUUCAAUUUCUUUUCUUAAGCAUGUUGUGCAGAAAUGAUUUCUACUAAAUCAUUUUUGAUAAACUACUUAAAUUAAACAACUGCAAUAAGAACUGUUAAGGAUUUAUCGUAAGCAGACUAAUAUGAUAAUUCUGAAACUAUCAUUUUUUUUUUCAAUUUGUUGCAGGGAAAGCCAAAUUUUGUAUUUUUCAGUUUUAUCUGAUAUGGAAUUUAUUUCCUCUACACUAGCUACCUAAAGAUUUAUCAAAUUGCUUCUCUUCCCUGCUUCAAAUUAAUAUCUUUAUGCAACUACAAUCUCAUAGGAAAAGACAGUUUGGGUUGUAUUUAUUAUAGUUUUUUUUUUCGUUAAGAGCAAUUUAUUUUAAAAUCGUUUAGUAGUAACAGUUUUUAUUGAAUAAUAAUGGGGUAGGAUUAUUAUAGGUUCAACUAGUUGUUAGAACAUUAUAAAAAGUCCAUUUACUAUCAAAUGCUUUAAAUUGGUGCAACAUGAUAAUUGUCCCACAUAAUUUUUAAUAAUAUAUAUGGCCCAUAAAUUUAAUAUGAAUAAAUGAGUUUCGAUAGUUAAAUUUGAUACGAUUAUUAAAUAAGUUAUAUCCAUGUCAAUUCGACUUAAAAUCUGGUAAAUUUAGAUUUAGAGUUUAUAACAUGAUAACUUGUUUUAUGACAUGAUUUACUAAUCAAUUAAUAUUAAAUUAUAUUUUAGCCAAUCAGAUAUGUGGUACAUUUGUCAAAUUUUAAAAAUUAUUUAUUUAUAUAUGAAAUAAAUUUGACUAGACUGUGUGUAGGUAAUAGUGCAUAAUUUCUAAAAAAAUGUAAUAAUAACACGUUAAAAUGUUAUUUUUAUGAAGAAAAAUUGAAAUUUUAUUAAAUAGGCGACACAAUAAUAAAUGGGUUGAGAUUAUUUACAUUUUAAGAAUUACUCUGAACAUUAUUUUAUUUUAUAAAUUUUAUAUUACAAAAACACCCAUAGUUUAAUUUACCAUUAAGAACAAUUUUGUGCGAUUAAAUAAAAUACAUUACUCUUUACCCUUUCACUACAUCGACAUAAAUCCUAAUUGUUAUGUUUCUAAUUUCUUUGAUAUGCUUAUUGAAGUCCACAUUAUAAUCAAUUUUAAACUAUUAUACCACUUAAAUACAUUUUAGAAUGAGAAGUUUGGUUUUCUUCAUGGGCUGCCUUGCUGAUGCUGUUAUUGAAACUAUCGAACUUAAUAAUUUUAUGGCCAAAAUGAUAUAUGUUGAACCAGCUUUUACAUCGAAUUCUACCACCAUAAAAAAUCGUACUUGUAACAUCUCAAGGUUCCAAUUUAUCAAAAGUUAAUCAUUCAUAUUUGUUAGUUCCUAACAGUCACAAGAGCGUACAAGCCAAUUUUUGUAGCUCCUUUUUCUGCAGUAGAUUCAAGUAUAUUAUUAUCAAGCAUUUUUGUUACACCCUUAAUUCCUUAUCAUCAUCCCUUCAUUCAGAGCAACUAAACAGAGGUCAAUGUCAUUAUGUUAGAGUUACGAGGAAGAGUACUGCCAAAAAAGUUCUUUGUAUGGGAUUUAAUUUUCUGGGUUUGUAGUGAUGAACAAAUUGAGGGUUGUUUUGGUAUUUUCAAGAGUGUAUUGAGUGAAAAUUAUUUUUAAAAAAUUUAACAAAUGAGUGUAAUGAGUAAAAAAGUGUUUAAAGUAUUUUUUAGAGUACAAAUAGCUCCACCUUAAUAAAUGAGUUCUUGUAAAAAUUGAGAUUAUUGAUAUAAUUAUUAAAUAGGUUGGAUUGAAGUUAGUUUAAUUUUGACAAGAUAAUAAGACGACGCGACACAAAUACAACCAACCAGUCAACCCAAAUUGCAACCUUUUACUAAUAAAAGAUACCUGUUUGAAAAGUAAUUAUAAGCUAUCUUCUUUGUGUUAUUUCUCUAAAAAUUUGCGGCACAAAUAUUAUUUCCAUGGAGAAAAGUACGAAAUACCCGCUUUCACUUCAGCAGAAGCAAAGCAAAGCUAUGAGCCAUCUCUGUAUAAUUGAAACGCCAUUGCUAAACGGUUCUUGAUGAUGGGUGCCACCGUGCCAGCGUUGUCGCUGAUUUGCAUGAUUUAUUAGUUGUUCAGAUGGCGGAUUUUGUACUGUCACUUUCAUUUCAUUCUUGAGAGCCACGUACAAUACUAGGUGGCAUUGAAGUUGCCCCAGUGGUUAGUUUUCUGAUUUUUUUUAAUUCAAAUUUUUAUGUUUUAGAAAAAUGUAAGAAAUAUGUAGAAAUGUUGACAGCUACAAUUUUGAAACUUUGCCUAAAAUUAUUAUCGUUGCUUAUUGUUUCUUAGCUAAAGAGAAAUCCUAGAAACAUGAAAUUAUUAUUCUAUGCUUGUUUUAAUAUUAUACAUUAGCAGGUUAAUUAAAAAUUAGACGUGAAUACAACAAGAGAUAAGUGGAGAGAAUUUGGUAGUCGACCGCAUUUAGAAUUUAAUUUUUCUUUUAGCUGCCGAUCAUUAAAUUUUAUAUUUCAGAAAAUUAUACCUAGAAUAUUUCAAGGAUAUACUACGAAGAUUAUGAAGGUUUGAUUACAUGUCACUAUCAAUUGCCUCAAUCAUUUGUAGUAAAUUAAUUAAUCAUUUUGCUGCAAAUGAUUUCCUAUUAAAAAAUUCAAGUCAGAGCUGAAUUGCACAGUAGUUAGUCGUGCUUGCAAUUCAAAUCAAGUAUUGUAUUUUCUGCCUGAUUUGGUUGAUUCAACUAUGUGCAUUUGCAUAAUGGAGAUGCUUAUGAACGUUGUAGUAUAGAAAUCGAAACGUCUUGUCUUUUGCUAAGCCCAGAAGCAAAGUUCUUUGUAUUAUACUCAUCAGUUUUCUUCGUUCUCUUCGUUGAAAUUUUAUCCAAACAGCGGUUUCUUCGAAUUUUUGCCCUCUCUUACAUUUUUAAAUCUAUCAAAGAACGGUUACCUGAGAAGAUUGCCAUCAGGUAUUUCGAAAUUGAUUUCACUACAAUACCUUAAUCUAUCAGAUUUUAAUCUAUCAGAUGCUCCCGUCACUCAGUUGCCAAAAGUGACAAAAGCCUUAGUAAAUUUUUAGAGUAAAAACUCAUUUAUUCCUUAUAUUUUAAGAUUAGUAUCUAUUUAGUCCUUAUAUUUUGAAAAAUACCUUGAAACAUCACUGCCAUUAAAGUAUUGAUACCCUUACCGUUACUUUUUAUUUAUUUUGGCUUAUUUUUACAAUAUUACCCUUUAAUAAUAAUUUUUUUGUUUAGACAUUAAUAAAAAUAAAAUAAUUAAAUUACCAAUUUAAUCCUAAAAAAUAAAAAUAAAAAUUUAUAUUAAUUUUUAAUUGUAAAAAAUUGUAUGCAAACUACCAAAUGUGCAAACGGUGCUUGCAAAAAAAUUAAUAUAAAUUUUUUAUUUUUAGGGUUAAAUUAGUAAUUUAAUUAUUUUAUUUUUAUUAAUGUCCAAAAAAUUAGUAAUUUAAUUAUUUUCUUUUUAUUAAUGUCCAAAAAUUAUUAUAAAAGGGUAAUAUUAUAAAAGUAAGCUAAAAGAAAUGAAAAGUAACGGUAGGGGUAUCAAUACUUUAACGGUAGGGAUGUUUCGAGGUAUUUUUAAAAAUAUAAAGAGUAAAUGGACACUAAUAUUAAAAUACAGGGACUAAAUAAGUUUUUAUCCUAAAUCUUUAAGUGUUUGAAUUGGAGUACAUAAAUUAUCUCUCUACAAUUCAAAAACAACAGAUUUGUUACUUUUCAACGCUACAGGUUCCGCGAAUAUUCAGUUGUGGUUAUCUUGUUGAAACACCAGAAAAUAGCGUUCUAUUUGGUGGUAAUGAAUUCUUGGUUGGGGAGUUACUUAGUUUAAAACAUUUAAAUGUAUUAAGCAUCGCCUUAAAAGGUUUUUCUACCGUCCAAAAAUUUAUGAGCUCCCAAAAGUUUCAAAGUUGUACAAAAUGUUUGGAGCUUAUAGACAGUGAUGAUUCAAAGUCGUUUGCCAUGGCAGAGUUGAAGCAUCUUGAAAAACUAGGUAUUUCAAAUUGUGGAAAUUUGGAAGAGUUUAAGUUCUGCUGUGUCGAAGUUGGAAAAACUUGAGAAGAUUUUUGUUUGAACAGCCUUCACCAAGUUAAGAGAAAGGCUUGUCAUAAAUUGAGGGAAGUGACAUGGCUUGUGUUUGUACCAAAUCUUAAGGUUAUUCAGAUAGAAAAAUGUAUGGAGAUGGAGGUUGUUGGGAAAGAGACUACCACAAGCAGCUAAAAAUUAAGCGAAUACAAAAUUCUUUCUCUCUUUGUGUGAUUAAAAUAGGAUGUGCACCACAAACAAAUAAGCAGAAAAAUAAACCAAUAAAUGCAAAGCAAAAACCAACCACAAGAGACACCGAUUUUUAAGUAGAAAAUUUAAAUUGGGAAAAAUCACAGGAUAGUAGUCUGAUAUAAACUUCUACUAUAUUAAUGAGAUUACAACACAAAUUCUUCUCCAGAUAAUACUAGAUGCUAACAAUAUUAAAAUUCUCAACAAUCUUAGUUUAUAAUAAUAGAUCUAAAAUCUAUUUCUUCAAUAAGUGAGUAUCUCAAAUAAUAGCUACUGAGAGAAUAAAAUACAGAUCAACACCAGUAGAAAUAUAGAGGGCAAUGUCAGGAACUUACCCUCCAAAUUUAGGACUAAUCAGAGCUAAAAUAACCUUUUGAUUGUUGAAUCAAAGAUUGAAAACCAAAAAAAAAAAAAAUAUCUCUUUCUCUCGCAGUGUCUUCUCACUUUCGCAAAAUGUCUACAGCUCUCGCGAUUCUUUACUUAUUUCCUUAGUUAAUUUCAUCCAAGUCCAAAAUUUUACAAUAAUUACACAUCAAGCAAAUUAUUUUGGACUUUGAACUUUUUGGUCCACUGAAGUGAAAUGGACCUUACAAAUCUCCCCCUCCAUCUCAUCUAAGGGGCACCACCAAGCCCGCUCUCUACUUACAGCUUUCCAGCUUCUCCUUGGGUAAUGACUUUAUCAUCAUAUCUGAUGCAUUCUUCGUUGUGUGAAUUUCUCCAAGCUGCAACUGUUUCUACUCAAGCACGUCUUGUAUCCAAUGAUACUUCAUAUCAAUAUGCUUCGAUUUCAAAUGAUAUGUUGAAUUCUUUGCCAAGUGGAUGACACUUUAACUGUCACAGUACACAACAUAACUAUCUUGAUUAACACCUAGUUCUUGUAGAAAAUUCUUCAUCCACAAGGUUUCUUUGUAACUUUCAGUGAUUGUAAUAUACUCUACUUCUGUAGUAGACAAAGCAACACACUACUAAAGUCUAGACUGCCAUGAAACUGCUCCUCCUACAUAGGUGAGCAAAUAUCUUGAUAGAGACUUUCUAGAAUCAACAUCUCCUGCCAUAUAUGCAUCCGUAUCUACUUGUAAUAUAGGUUUGUCACCACCAAAACAUAAACAUGCCUUGGAAGUGCCUCUGAGAUAUAUGACAAUCUACUUUACUGCUGUCCAGUGUUUUUUACCCAGAUUAGAGGAAAACCAGUUGACUACCAACUGUUGAAGCGUACCUCAAACUACCAACUGUUGAAGCAUAAAAAACUCUUUUUAUCUCUUGCUUCUCUUUCUCACUUAUGGGACAAUGCUUGAAACUAAGCUUGAAAUGACCUGCAAGUGGAAAAUAAACAUAUUUUGCUUUGUCCAUAUUAUAUCUUUUAAGAACUUUUUCAACAUAUGCUUCCUGAGAUAACCAUAAAUUCCCAGUUUUUCUGUCACGAGAAAUCUUCAUGCCAAGAAUUUGUUUCGCCGAUCCCAAGUCCUUCAUUACAAAAGACUUGCUAAGCUCUCUCUUCAAAUUGUCAAUCUUACUAGUAUCCUUGCCAACAAUCAACAUGUCAUCCACAAAAAGUAAAAGAAUAAUAAAAUCAUUAUCACUAAACUUUUUCACAAACAUACAAUGAUCACACAUUGUCUUGCAAAAGCCAUGAUUCUCCAUAAAAGAAUCAAACUUCUUAUACCACUGUCUUGGUGCAUGUUUCAGCCCAUAUAAAGUUUUUUUCAAUUUGUACACAAGUUCUUCUUUACCUUUGACACUGAACUCUUCAGGUUGUUAUAUGUAUAUUUCCUCCUUUAAGUCAUCGUGUAAGAAAGCAGUCUUUACAUUGAAUUGUUCAAUUUCCAAAUCCAAGCUAGCUACUAAUCCCAGAGGUGCUUGCUCAAUUGGUUCUGCUGGACCAUUAUUAUUAUCCUCUCCAGCUCCCCUAUGAUCAUCAUGAACAACAUGUGGAGAAACCGAAGUUGGAAUAAUAAGAAUCUCUGGAGAUGGCUGAGACUUAUCAUUUUUUUUUCAUCACCAACUAUCUAAUUUUUAAGAAACACAACAUCUCUAAUUCUGAUUACUUUUCUUGUCACUGGAUCCCAUAAUCUGUACCCAAAUUCUUCAUGUCCAUAGCUUAAGAAAAUACAUUUCUUGGCUUUAUCAUCAAGUUUUGAUCUCUCAUCUUUAGGGAUAUGAACAUACACUCUGCACUUAAACACCCUCAAGUGUUUAUAAGAAACAUCUUUCCCAAUCCAAACUCUUUUAGGUACAUCGUCAUCUAAUGGAGCUUAAGGAGAAAGAUUAAUCAAAUCAACUACAGUACGCAUAGCCUCCGCUCAGAAGGAUUUAUAAAGCUUGGCAUCAGAAAACAUACAUCUGACUAUCUUUUCAAUUGUUCUGUUCAUUAUUUCUGCAACACCACUCUGCUGAGGGGAUUUUGGUACAGUUUUCUUAAGUUUGAUUCCAUGAGAUCUGCAAUACUGCUCAAAUGGUCCUCUGUACCCACCAUCAUUUUCUGCCCUGACACAUUUCAAUUUUUUUCUUGUCCCUCUCUCAACAUAAGCACGAAAGAAUUUAAACAUAGUAAGCACGAAAGAAUUUAAACAUAUCAAGCACUUAAUCUUUAGAUUUUAAAGCAAAAGUCCAUACUUUUCUAGAACAAUCAUUAAUAAAAGUCAUAAAAUAAAGUGCACCUCCUAUUGAUCUAUUUUGCAUCAUGCAAAUAUCAAUGUGAAUCAAAUCAAGGAUUUGUGACUUUCUAGAUGGAGAAAAGCUUUUAAAAGUUACUUUAUGUGCCUUUCCAGCUAAACACUAAACACAAGUCUUGAGGGACGUACCUACAAAGCUUGGUAGAAAUCCUUUUUUGGCAAGAGUUCCUAACCCUUUCUCACCAAUGUGACCAAGCCUUUUAUGCCAUGUCUCAAUGUCAGAAUUGUUUACAGCCAUAUUCAUAUAUUCUUUCUUGAUUUUGGCUUCUAUUACGUAGAGGGUGUUCAUUUUCUUUCCUUUAGCCAACACUAGAGAGCCUUUGGUGAGCUUUCAUUUUCCUUCACCAAAUUAGUUAGUAUAACUAUCAUCAUCAAUUUUUCUUGUGGAGAUCAAAUUAAGACGAAUAUCUAGUACAUGCAAGCUUUUUUGUGGAGAUCAAAUUAAGGCGAAUAUCUAGUACAUGUCUGACAUCUUUAAGGAGUAGCUUAUAGCCAACACUGGUUUGAAGCAAAUAUCUCCUAUGCCCACAAUCUUGGAUGCCCCCUCAUUUCCCAUCCGAACAUGGUCAUAAUUACCAUUAACAUAGGAUGUGAAGUAAUCAUGAUGUGCAGUUGUUGUGCAAAUUUUAAUGUACUCGCAAGCGCACGAAUCUAUUGUAGUAUAGAUCAAUGGUGACGAGUGUCGAUCCCACGAGGAGGUGGAUUUUAAUUGUGUAUAGAAUUAAUUUUGCAAAUGGUUGAUUGGAUUUGUGGUGGAAAUGAUUUGGAAUAUGCUAAAACUUAAAUUAAAAUGGCGAGAAUAAAUUCUAAAAUUGGAAUUGAAAUUGCGAGAAUAAAGUUGAAGAGAAUUCUAUUGAAAUGACGUACUUGGGUAUCUGGAUCCGUAUCAACAUGCAUCAUGGGCUAAAUAAUGCGUAUUAAUGCCAAUUAAAUCAUGAGGGGGGAAUCCACACCUCAUGAACCACGCUCUAAUCAAUAUGGUGCUAAGGGCUUAUCGUGCCAAAUAAUAAUAACCUUGUACUAGAGAGCCGGUGUAACCAAGGCGGUACUAGACAAGAUUAGUAUUAUUUGUCGACGAGAAGUCAAAACAUCCACAAAAACUAGAGGGGAAGAGAAAAUAAAUUUACCAAAUAAAGCCCAUGACACAUGUUGAGACUUCACCUUCAACCCAAGCUUAAAAGAAAAUUAGCUACUCAUAAUUGAACUAAGGGCAAAAUGGGAAUUUAUUAAAAUACGAAGAAAAUACAAGAUAGAGAGGGAAUUACAGAAAAUGGAUCCCAAAAAUGGAUUCAGAGAUAUCAAAUUAGGGGGGGAGGCCCCCUUUUUAUAGAUACAUGGAGUAAAUCAUGGCAAUCGGAUUAAAAACAGUUUGGACGCUCAGGAUUGCGCCACGUCAUCAGUCAACAGUCCACGGUUUGACCACGCGGAUGAACAGUAAUACGGUUUGACCCAUAUGAACAGUACGCGGUUUGACCCGGAUGAACAGUAACGCGGUUUGGUUGAAAAUAAUCCUGUGUGAUGCAUGCACCGUACGCGAGAUUUUUUGUCCACUGAUAUGCUGCCACGUCACCAUCAACAGUACAUAAGAAUUUUAGUCCAACAGGAUCGUGACACCUCAUCAGUCAAUGCCACAUCAUCGAUCCGUCUAUGUGAGCAGUGCCGUGAACAGUAACAUAUACAGUACCGUAUACGUGAAUAGUACCGUACAUGUGAAUAGUGCUAUUUUUCCUUUUAUGCUCCUCCUAAGGUUUUCGACCGUCCUGAGUUCAAAAGUGAUGUCCGUUUUACCGUCUGAUCUCUCCUUUAUUGUGAAAUCACUAUAAUACCACUAAAAUACAUAAAAUACUUAAUUAAAAUAAAACACAUGUAAUUAAAUCACAAGAAGGUUAAAUACAUAAAAGUAAGGGUUGUUAGUAAGACUUGAAAUGUAAAAUGAUGGUUUUCUCCUUUAUAAAUAUGCAUUUUCUAACACUCAACAGCAGUAACCACGAUGUGCAGUAACAUCAAACGAAGCACCCGAAUCAAUCACCCAAUUACUGGUAUGGCAAGUAAGAUUUAUAGAGCUAUCAUUAUAAGCAAUGCCCAUAUCACCAUUAAUUACGGCUGUAACAUUCUCUUUGUCAUUUUUCUGACCAUCGCCUUUUUCUUUCGCAUGUUCUCUUUUCCACAAUUUACACUACCUUUUUACAUGGCCCAUUUUCUGACAAUGAAAGCACUUAGCUUCUCCUAUGGGACUUAGAUCUUCCUCCAGGGUUAUCAUUAUUCUGAUGACGGAAAUUUCUGCUUCGACUUCUCCCCCGUCUUUUUUGGUUUUCUGAAACAAGUGUAGCUGACUCAGAGGGAACUACUUCAGCAUUCUUUCUUCGAGAUUCUUCAUUCCGCAGUCUAUCUGUAACCAUAUCCAAGUUUAAUUUACCAUUCGGUGCCGAAUUAUUCACUGACACCACUAAUGUCUCCCAACUAUCAGGUAAAGAACUAAGCAACAACAAUGCUUGUAACUCGUCAUCUAGAAUAAUCUUCAUAGUAGUCAACUGAUCAACCAAACCCUGAAACUCACUAGUGUGUUCAGUAAUACUGUGGCCUUUUUUAUAUUUCAAGUUAACAAGCCUUUUCAUUAGAUUGACUUUAUUUUGUGCUGUUGGCUGCUCAUAAAUUAUUUCUAAUUUUCUCCAAAGAACAUCAGCCUUGGAUUCCUUCGCGACAUGAUGGUACACACUCUGAUCAAUCCAUGACCUAAUAGUGCCCACGGCUUUCUGGUUCAAUUGAGCCCAUUUCUUAUCAUCUAUAUCAACAAGUUUAACUUCAUCACCUUCAAUAGGUUCAUGUAAGUCUUUCAUGUAGAGCAAAUCUUUCAUUCUAGACUUCCAAAUAUCAUAAUUCCACGACUCAAUUUAAUCAUGAACGCCAAAGACUCCUCUAUUUCAACCACAUAAGUAAUAAAAACACACAACCUGGCUCUGAUACCACUCUAUUGGGAAAACGACUACCACAAACAGCUACAAAUUAAGCGAAAAUAAAAUUCUUUUCCUCUUUGUGUGAUUAAAAUAGGAUGUGCACCAUAAACAAAUAAGCAGAAAAAUUAAUCAAUAAAUUCAAAGCAAAAAUCAACCACAAGAGACACCGAUUUUAACGUGGAAAAUUCAAAUCGGGAAAAACCAUGGGACAAUAGUCCGAUAUAAAUUUCCACUAUAUUAAUGGGAUUACAGUACAAAUUCUUCUCCAGAUAACACUAGAGGUUAACAACAUCAAGAUUUUCAACAAUCUUGGCUUACAAUAAUAGAUCUAAAAUCUAUUUCUUCAAUAAGUGAGUAUCUCCAAUAACAGCUAAUGAGAGAAUAAAAUAUAGAUCAACACGAGUAGAAAUGUAAAGGGCGAUGUCAGGAACUUAUCCUCCAAAUUUGGGAGAAAUCAAAGCUAAAAUUAUUUUUCGAUCGUUGAAUCAAAGAUUGAAAACCCAAAGAAAAAAAAUAUCUUUUUCUCUCGCAACGUCUUCUCACUUGCGCGAAAUGGCUACAUCUCUCGCGAUUAUUCACUUAUUUCCUUUAUAUUUUUUUUGGUUAAUUUCAUCCAAGUCUAAAAUUUUACAAUAAUUACACAUCAAGCAAAUUAUUUUGGACUUUGGGCUUUUGGUCCACUGAAGUGAGAUGGACCCUACAGAAGCAAUAAUCAGUGCAAGAAAAUUAAGUGAAGUUCCAGAGAUGAUGGCAGAUCUAAACCCUUUUGUAAAACUCCAAUAUCUUGGCCUCCGAAUUCUACCAAAAUUAAAAAAGCGUCUAUUGGAAUGUGUUGCCCUCUCCACAUGUCAGGGAAAUUUUUGUAUCUGAAUGCCCAAUUCUCAUUAGAGGAGAGGAACACUGGUGGAAUAAGUUGCAAUGGGAGGAUGAAGCAACCUAUAAUGCUUUUCUUCCUUGUUUUGGAUCCAUUUGAUGGGCAUCAACAUGGAUUAAUAUUUUGCAGCGAACCAAUUUGAAUAAAACUUACGGUAAGUGCUUUUCCAUUUAUUGCAUAUUUAUAUCUAAUUUUUGUUUUCCUUUAUGGUUAAAUUUUGCCCUGUAUAUGUUGUUGUACGGUGACAUUCUUGAAUCAAUUAUUAAUUUUUUUAAUUCUCGUCUCACAACCACCCUUUUGAUCAUGAGGAUAUGCCGAUAUCAAAGAGUCAUAAUUUGGGAUACAAAUGUAAGAAUUAGGCAGAUGACAUGUUGUUUCAAAGCUUUCGAAGAAGGACUAAAUAUGUCAUUGAAAGCCUCCAAUUUUGCGACUGAUUUUUUUUUAAUUUGUUAUUUUUAUAGGUGGCAAAAAUACCCGUCUGAUUUGGACUCGGCUGAUUUGGGCCGGGUACGGAGUAUGAAGCCGGGUUGGUCCUGGGCAUCACUUGAAACUCGGAACCUGGAUUUUAUUAAAAAAUAUUAUAAAUAUAUAUUAUUUUAAAUAUCUAUAUUUAUUAGACUCAUCUAUUACAUAUAUCUAAUUUCAUUGAAAUAAAUUUAAAAAUUAUAAAAUUACCAAUAUAUAUAUAUAUAUAUAAUAUUAAAAAAGUAUAAAAUCUGAGUCCUCAGAUUAAAACCCAGUUCAAGUGUCUAAAAAAUACAUGUGGACCGAGUUUGAACAUUGCGAUACCCAGACCCAAACUUGGGUUUUGCCAACCCUAGUCUUUUAAAUUGCUUGAUUGUAAUGUUUUAGUAUAGAAAAAUGAUAGCCAAGACAACAAUAAGAGGGCACAUUGUGCAUGCACAAUAGUGGAUAAUUUCGGCAUUCCAAAUCCAAUUAGGGUGGAUAACCUUUUAUUAGUAUUAACCUUCUCUCGUAUUCAAGUAAUGUAAAAUAUGCUUAGAAGCUGUGGAUCCCCCUUUAUAAGUGUUGGGCUUAUGCCAAACUCGAUUGAUGUGGGAUGCCUUUAUAGGCAUCAAGUUUUCUCCCAUACACUUUAUGUUAAAAAUAAUAAUGAUAAAAUAAAUCCAUUUUAAAAUAGACUUCUUUUUCUUUUCUAUAUAAACAAACUCAUUCUUCAAAUCAGUUGUGGGUGGAAGGAGUGAGUAGAGAAGAACUGGGCCCCUUUCGUUCCUCUAAAAACCUCACCAAACCUCUCUUGUAAGCUUCUCAGUGUCCCUCUCAAUAUUUCUUAUGAUCUCGUUUUUUAUUGAAUCACUUCUUUUGUGUGCUGCAUUUUUGUGUGUCGUAUUUGGGUUUAUCUUAUCUGGAAUCCUGUUAUGAUUGAUGGAACAAGUAAUCGAUUUUUGGUUUAUUUGGAAUGGAAUUAUGGUUUAUUUGGAAUGGAAUUAUCUGGGUGUAACGGAUUAAAUUAUGACAUUGGGGAGAAGGCACUAAGGGGUUUGCUUGACACAUUUGGUUCUGUGUUUACUCUGAAAGAAAUAGCUUUUGCUUAUCGUAAUGCAAGGCGAAAUCCCGAUUUGGGUGGUGAAUUUCUCUAUCCCAAUUGGGCUGGUGAAUUUCUCUGUGACAAAUAGGCAAACAGCUCAACCUCUUUUAUCUAUCUUCUACUAGUGAGGCAAGGGAUAAAAAGUCUUCAAAAUCAUCAAAUAGUAACAUCUUCGAGAAUUCAUUUUAUGCAAAUGGAAAAUCUAGACCUUCUAAGACAAAAUGGCGUCCAGUAUCAAGAGGUACCGUUUCAAGUUUUCUUGGUAAAAAUUAUGUAAACUUGCACAGCCAGCUAAUGGCACUUUUCUAGUUUUCUGGCAUCAAAGCCAUUGAAGUCGUAUCCAAAGGAGUUUCCCAUGUCUGCACUUUGUGGAGAAGGAACUAAACAAAAACAAUCAAAGGAUGACCAUUUGCAGAAGGAUGUGGAAGAUUUUCUGUUUAAAUUGCUAGGAGAAGUGUUCCAGCUGAAUAGGGAUGUGAUUCGGGAAGUUCCAGUAAUGUCUUAAAUAUGUUGAUGCCAAUUUAAUAUAUAUUGUCAUUUUCAAUGUUCUUUCUUUCUUUCUUUAUCUUCUUUUCUUCUACUUCUUCUUCUUUUUCUUUUCGUGUGCAUGUGAUCACUAAUUUGUUAUUAUACUUAACUUGCAGGUAGUUGUGGAUAUGAUAUGCAAAAGGUAAGGACUAUAUCUUCCUGAUAGAGGCCUCUGCUUUUUCCCUUUUAUGUAAUUUAGUAAAUCUCAUCUCCCUUUGUGAUUGUUAUAUCAUAUCAAAGUCAAGUCUUAAAUACUGCUGUCAUAUGUUAAGGUUCAACUUGCAUUUUGACUAACAUCCAUUUGUUGUCGCUUCCAAAAGUGAGAAUGAGAUACUUCGGUUAAUUUCAGUAGUUGAACCCAAUCGAGUACUUUAUCUAGAUCUUCAUGGUUCAAAGGCCUGAAACUUGCCCGUGAUUGUAAAAUGAUAUUAUGUGCUUUUAAUGCAAUAGGGGGAACAAGGUGUCAAAGGAAUUAGCAGAUUCUAUGGCAGAUUCUAUGCCUGUACAACUGUAACAAUUAUCCUUAUGAUUGUAAAUCUUAUAUGUUUUCCUUAUUUAGGAUAUACUAGCUGUAGGCUAUUUUAGAUAGUUAUGUAUAUGAUAGUUUAGCUAUGUUUAGGGCUAAACAUAAGCUUGUAUUCAUAGUAUAUAAAGGGAAUUCUCUUCUAAGAGAAAGCAUAACUUUUGCUCAAAAUUCUCUGAGUUUAUCAUGGUAUCAGAGCCUCAGUUCUGAAUUCUCUUCUUCCUAGUUCAUUCCCUUGUUCUUAGUUAUUCUUUUUUUUAUCAAGUUAUCUCAGCCUCAUGUCUUCAGACAAGUAUGAUGCUUUUUUGAUCCGUUUUAAUGGCACAAACUACUCAGCCUGGGCAUUUCAUUUCGAGAUAUUUGUCAAAGGCAAAGAUCUAUGGGGACAAGUUGAUGGCAGGAAACCUGCCCCUGAUAAAGAGAUAGACCAGGAUGGGUACGCCAAGUGGGAAGUCAAGGAUGCUCAAAUCAUGGCAUGGAUUCUAGGAUCUGUGGAAUCCAACUUCAUCUUGAAUCUUCGACCCUUCAAGACUGCAGCAGGAAUGUGGAAUCAUCUAAAGAAACUCUACAGUCACACCAACACUGCUCGUUGAUUUCAGCUUGAACAUGAGCUAGCCAAUCUCCAACAAGGCAGUCUCUCUAUUUCUGAUUUUUAUUCUAUCUUUAUGAUUAUUUGGGCUGAAUAUACUGAUAUAAUCUAUGCUACCUUACCUCCGAAGGUCUUAGUUUUGUUCAAUCUGUACAUGAAACUACUAAGAGAGAUCAAUUUAUGAUAAAACUGAUAUAUGAAUUUGAAAGCACUAGGUCCAAUCUUAUGAAUUGAGAAUCUGUCCCUUCCUUGGAUACAUGCCUCAAUGACUUAUUUCAUGAGGAGCAACGACUUCUUACUCAAAAUACCAUGAAACAAAAAAAAUCUACUUCUGUUCCUAUGGCUUAUGCAGCUCAAGGCAAGCCAAAAGGUAAGGACAUCAGUAUAGUUCAAUGUUUUUGUUGCAAAGGAUUUGGACAUUACGCUUCAAAUUGUUCAAAAAAAUUAUGCAACUAUUGCAAAAAAGAUGGACAUAUCAUUAAGGAAUGCCUUACUCGACCCCCCAAGAAAUCUGAAACAACAUAUGCUACCUCAGUUGGUUCUUCUAGUGAUGGUAGUUCUGUGGAUACAGCACAUUUGACCCAAAGUGCUCCUGUUCCUGUUCAAUCUGUGACCCCAUAAAUGAUUCAACAAAUGAUCAUUAUUGUAUUCUCCUCAUUAGGACUCUCAGGUAAAUCACCCACUAGAUCUCCUUGGUACUUUGAUUCUGGGGCUUCCCAUCACAUGACAAACAAUGCUAAAUUCUUCACCAAUGUAAGUAAAUACCUUAGAAAUCUAAAAAUUCAUACAGCUGAUGGCAACUCUUUACCUAUCACAGCCACUAGUGAUGUUUCUUUUUCUAUAACCAAUGUCUUUGUCUCUCCUGGUCUUCCUACUAAUCUUGUUUCAAUCGGUCAGUUAGUUGACAAUAAUUGUAAAGUAGAAUUCUCUAAAUCUAGUUGUGUUGUGCAGGAUCAGCAGUCAGGGAAGAUGAUUGCCAGGGGGCCUAAAAUAUGACGUCUUUUCCCUCUCCAAUUUGCUAAGUCUCCAUGUUUCUCUUUGCCUAUCAUCACUUGCAAUUUUACUAAGGUUAAUUAUCGAGCAUGGCAUAAACGUCUAGGACACCUAAACUCUAAUGUAUUUUAUGCUUUGCUAAAUUCUGGUUUACUUGGGAAUAAAAGAUCACCAUCCCUUAGUGUUGUUCAAUUUGAUUGCAAUUCUUGCAAGCUUGGAAAAAGUAAAAUUCUGCCAUUUCCCACUCACACACCGAAUGUUGUCCAGCCUUUUGAUUUGAUACAUAGUGAUGUGUGGGGUAUGGCGCCUGUUACAUCUCAUGCUAAUUACAAGUACUUUGUCACUUUUAUUGAUGACUAUAGUCGCUUCACAUGGAUUUAUUUUCUACAUUCUAAAGAUGAAGUGUUCUCUGUUUUCAAGCUUUUUCAUGCAUAUAUUCAGACCCAAUUUUCUACUAAUAUCAAAAUUCUUUGCUUUGAUAAUGGGGGUGAGUAUAUGUCUCAUUUAUUUUAAGAAUUUUUGCACACCAAUGGUAUAAUUUCUCAAAGAUCUUGUCCUUCAACCCCUCAACAAAAUGGGGUGGCUGAAAGAAAGAACUAUCACCUUCUCGAUGUUGUCUUCAUUUGUACCCUCUCGUUUUUGGUGUGAAGCUUUCUCCACUGUUGUCUAUCUCAUCAACAGAUUGUCCUCUCAUUCCUUGAACCAUGUCUCCCAUUUCUUUCAGUUAUUUGGCCAUACACUAAGUUACUCUCAUCUCCAUACCUUCAGUUGUGUGUGCUAUGUUCAUCUUCCUCCAUAUGAGCGUACAAAACUCACAGCCCAAGCUGUGAAAUGUGCUUUUCUAGGAUAUUUUAUGCACUAAAAAUGUUUUCUUUGUUAUGAUCCAAAUUUGCAUCAUAUAAGGGUUUCUCGAAAUGUGAUUUUCUUUGAAAAUCAGUAUUUCUUUUCCGCAUACCACGACGAUUCUUCGCCUUCAUUUUCUGUUUUGCCAAAGUUUACUAACCCUUCUGCAGAUUCUGCACCUUCUAAACCUAUCAUAGUCUAUCAGCGACGCAAGAAUUUAGUACCUCUCGGGCCCCCUCCAGCAACUUCCCUGAAUGUUGAUCCAGUUCCAGCAACUGCACCUGAACCUUUCAGACAUAGUACUCGGGUUCGUAGACCACCAGAUAGGUAUGGUUUCACCUCUCCAUUAUUUUUGACAGCCACUUUGUCUUCUAUUCUUAUUCCUUCAUCAUAUAAACAGGCAAUAGAGCAUGAAUUUUGGUGAAAAUCUAUUGAAUCAGAACUUCUUGCACUUGAAGAAAACCAAACUUGGGAUAUUGUUUCAUGUCCUCCAUCCGUGAAACCCCUUAGUAGUAAGCUAGUGUUUUCUAUCAAGCUGCGUUUUAAUGAAUCCAUAGAUCGUUACAAGGCUCGGUUGGUGGUUCUUGGCAACAAGCAAGAAUAUGGCCUAGACUACGAUGAGACCUUCGCGCCGGUAGCCAAAAUGACCACUGUUCGAACAAUAUUAGCCCUUGCUGCAUCACAAUCAUGUUCUUUACAUUAAAUGGAUGUAAAGAACGCUUUCCUACAUAGUGAUCUCAAGGAGGAAAUUUACAUGAAACUUCCCCACGGUAUGACUACUUCCUCUCCUAAUGAUGUUUGCAAACUAAAAUGUUCGUUGUAUGGGUUGAAGCAAGCACCGCGAGUAUGGUUUGAGAAGUUUCGAUCAACUCUUUUCAGUUUUUCAUUCACUCAAAGUCAGUAUGACUCCUCCUUUUUUUUUUCCAACAGACAUCUAAGGGCAUCAUUGUUCUCCUUAUUUAUGUGGAUGACAUCGUUAUCACUGGUUCUGAUAUGGAGGCAAUUUCUAAACUUCAGAAUUUGUUGCACUCUAUUUUUCACAUGAAAGACCUCGGUCAACUCACCUAUUUUUUGGGGUUAGAGGUGCAUUAUCUGCCUCAAGGUAUCUUCUUGAAUCAACACAAGUAUAUUCAGGAUUUAAUUUAAUUAGCUGGACUUAUGGACAAAAAUUCUGUUGACACCCCAGUGGAACUUAAUGUGAAAUAUCGACAAGACGAAAGGGAACUACUUCAAGAUCCUACUUAUCUAUCUAACUAUCACCCGCCCAGACAUCUCUUAUGCUGUCCACACCGUUAGCAAGUUCAUGCAAGCCCUUCGACAUCUCCACGUAUCCACAGUCCGCCGCAUCAUUAGAUAUAUUCUUGGCACUCUUAACUGCAGUUUAUUCUUCCCUACUGGUUCUUCACUCCAACUACAAGCCUACAAUGACGCAGAUUGGGCUAGCUGCCCGGACACGAGAAAAUCUACUUUGGGAUGGUGCAUGUUUCUUGGUGAUGCCCUUAGCUCUUGGAAAUGCAAAAAGCAAGACUCAGUCUCCAAAUAAUCCACUGAGGCAGAAUACCGCGCCAUGUCUGUAGCCUGCUCCAAGAUCAUUUGGUCGCGUGGUCUCUUAACAGAGCUUGGUUUCUCACAACAUCAACCUACUCCCCUACAUGCUGACAACACAAGUGCCAUCCAAAUUGUAGCCAACCCUGUCUACCAUGAGCGCAUGAAACACAUAGAGGUUGACUGCCACUCUAUUCGAGAGGCCUAUGACCACCAAGUUAUCACCCUCCUGCAUAUCUCCACUACUCUACUGAUUACGAAUAUCUUCACCAAAUCCAUGACAUGUCAGCGACAUAACGUUCUUGUUAGCAAAUUGAUGCUUGUAGAUUUACCAGCAUCAAUUUGAGGGGGGAUGUCAAAGGAAUUAGUAGAUCUUAUGGCAAAUUCUAUGCCUGUACAGCUGUAACAAUUAUCUUUAUGGUUGUAAAUCUUAUAUUUUUUCCUUAUUUAAGAUAUACUAGCUGUAGGCUAUUUUAGAUAGUUAUGUAUAUGGUAGUUUAGCCAUGUUUAUGGCUAAACAUAAGCUCGUAUUCAUAGUAUAUAAAGGGAAUUCUCCUCCAAGAGAAAGCAUAUGAAAGAAACUUAGUUCUAUAUUGUUUGGUAGGCUAGAAAAUGAAAGAAAAUAAAAGAAAAGCUUUGCAAAGAAAACUGUUAGAUCCUUUUAUUAUACCAAACUUACAGUUUAAUGACUAAAAAUUGAUAUUUAUAUUGAGCUACAAACUCUUCACACACACACACGAGAUUGUUGCAACACAUAACCAAUUGCUGUAUAACUAACUUGACACAUCAGCUCAACCAGCUAACUAACUUUGACAGGUCAGCUUAAUGAUUUGAUCUGAUACAACCAGCUACACAGCAACAUCAUGCUCUGCUCCAGCUUCAUCUAAUUCACUAACAACUUUUGCUCAAAAUUCUCUUAGUUUAUCACAGGGAAGUAUAGCUUUGGAAAAGGCCGGAUCAAUAACUAUGGAGAGAUUUAUAAGUGAUAAAAAUUCCCGUAACCCGCUGUCAAGAAAAUUUCACAUAGUUAAAGACGCCAUUUUGUUUCAGCCAAAAAUGUUUGUUUAAUCUGCCAAAAAUGUUUGUUUCGAUUAAAGACUUGAACCGUUUUCAUUUAACCUGAUUGUGAUGCUUUAUGUUAUGUAUGUUCCUCUCAAUCAAGAAAAGUUGAGGUUCAUGAUUUUAUAUUUCUAUCUUGUAACUUGCAAUAAUAACUGGUCUUCUUGUUUUUGUAGCUUGAUAACAUGAAUUUUCCUUCUCAAGUUAAUUUGAUCAAUAAAGUAAUUCUUCAAAGAAAAUAUGCCCAUUCUAUAAUCAUUUUCUUAGCUAAUAUGUUUUUUUUUUGUUUACUCUUCAGAGUGUGUCGAAACUAAUUGAUUGCUCGGCAGAGACUUUGGGUGACAAGUCAAAAUUUCAUGGUAAAUCCUCUGAAAAGGUAUGCAUAAUUCCUGAAUAUUAAAUAACCAAUGGUCAUAGUUUUUGUACACGACUCUUUUUGUGGAGAUCGUUAAAAGUGGUUGAUGAUCCAUUUGUAAUUUCAUAGAGGGAUCAUCAAUUCCUUUUCUUUUCUGUGGCUAGGCAUCACUUUCGUGCCAAAGUAAGGAAAUCUAUUUUAGGUAAUGUAAAAAACAAUGGUAGGAUGUAAUAGCUUAUUAUGCACUGACAAUAACUUUUUGUAUAAUUGUCAGUUUAAGGAAUACAAGAGGAACUCUGUUGACAAAUUCAUCCAAGAUAGAUGCUAAAAUUAUUUAUGCAUGCCAGUUGCCUUAACUAAUUUUUCUUAACACUUGUAUUGAACAGGAAAUGAGUAUGCAAUUUGUGUACGUGCCAUUGUGGAGAAUUUGGAUAUUCUUAUUUAAGUAAGAAGAAGAGUAUUUGCCUCAUCUUUAAACAAUGAAUCUUUGAGAAAUGAGGAGUGGGUGAUUGGAAGUGUCUUCAUGUAAAUGUUCAUUUACUUGUAUUUUGAACUAUUAUGAGAAUCUUUUAUAUGCCAAAUUAGUAAUACAAAUGUUCAGAUGAUUUUUCCUGUUGAUCACGCGUUUGUGUCUGCAGACAACCAUUGUAUAUCACUUUAUUCUGAUGUGCAAUUAUGUAUAGAUUAGAAGAAAAGAAAUAAUAGUCUUAUAUUAUUGUUUGGUUCAUGAUUAUUAAACGAUUAUGGCUUCAAAAAAUCUACAAAUUCCUUCUGUUCAUAUAUGAAUGUGCCAAGUUUGCUAUAUCUUAGAUUGCCUUCUUCCAAGAUAACAAGUUCAUAUGUUUUUUAAUCCUCUUCAAUCACAGUUGAAUUUUAAGUGUUAAGAUUUGUUAUUAAUACCUGGUUCCCUGUUAUUAUGAUUUUUAUUAUGAUUUCAUAAACAGUGUACGGACAUGUGCUCUACUUUUAAAGGGCCUCCACGUGAAAGAAAAUUGCAACAAUUGAAUUCUUCCGGAGGGUAUGGCAUUUAAUUUAUUUUCUCAACUUCUUGUAAGACUAAUAUAUUUCCUUCAGUAGGCAGGGCAUGUUGGGAAGGGCUUUUAUUGAAAGAAUUCUGAUAUUUCUUAGACUUUGUUUUGGAAGGGAGGUGGAGGGAUUUCUCAUCCAUAUAUGGUUACUUGAUUAGCUUUUGACUGUAUUGCCUCAGUCGUGCAAAGGAAGAUCCAAAUACUAAUGAAUGAGAAUUGGUUAGAGACCCAAAAGACAGAAAUGAACUACAGAAGGAAGUUUUUGCUGCUUUAUUUAGUGUUCCUGAGAACUCUGAUGAAGAUGGAGUGGAGGUCCAAAGCAUUAAGAAAGGUGGUGAGUGAACCGCCAGAGGAAUUGGUACCAGAAUACAAAGCUAAUGUGGUGCAUUUGCAGCAAGAUAACCAGACUAGUAUGUGCUCUUGUAUUAACUAUAUUGACUGGAUUUGUGAGCAUGUUCAUUUUUGUGUGUAUAAUCACUUUUGUAUUUAUGCAUAUUAAUGUUAGUAGGAUUCUUGAUUUCCUCCACUUACUGGAGAACUAGUGGAAAGCUUUAUAGUGAAAUAUCUGCAAUAACUAAUGGAAACCAUGAUUUGAAUAUUUUCUCUCACCUGGAGAGCUUUGUAACAGAUGUACUUUGUGGCUAUGGAAUACUAGAGAUUCUGCAAUAACUAAUGGAAACUCUGAUAUGAAUAUUUUCUCUCACCUGCAGAACUUUGUAACAGAUACACUUUGUGGCUCUGGAAUGUCUAAAGAUUUUGUCUGCUUCAGUUAGAUCAAAUAUCUUUUAGUUACCUACAUUAUGGAAAAGAUAGAGUUCUCUGAAUCUGAAAGACUGAAACAUUUUGCAUAUUUCGUGAAAGGAAAAUAUCUGUAGAUACUAGUUCAUGCAUUGAGGUAACAUCAAUGUUAAAGAAAAACAGCAAUAACUUAUUAUAUAGAAUUAGGUUCACUUGCUUUAAAUGCUGGUCUGGUCAACCAUAUGAACCUGUAAGUGUAUCUGCAGAAAUAUAUAUGGGGGGACAAACUAGCUAAAUUUUCCUCUCAUUUCUGGCUUUGGUCAUUUUUUCCCCUUAUUUUUCAGCUUUCCUUCUCCUGAAGUAUGUUAACAAUUGCAGAUAAUGACGAAGAGGACAGCUUGCAGGCUCUUCGUGGAGCUGUGAUGGAAUAUAGGGGCACAAUGAAAGAACAUUUUAAAGCUGUAGGUUCUUUUUCUCCUGUCAUUUAUAUUUGCUCACACAUUUUUCAUAUGCUCCAAGCAUGCAAGUUUGUAUGUGUCUUUGCCUUUUAAGUUUUAAAAACCAUAAGGUAAGAAUACAGUUCCUCGUCAGGUUAUUGAUGCAUUCACUCCGGAGGAUCAUGUUCGAGCAGGAAAACUUCUAGAACAGGCAAGGUUUUCCAUCUACAGCCAUCUAUUGACAACAGAUACAUUUUCAUUCAGCAGACACUGUUAGCAUUCAAGAUGCUGGCAGAUUCACUUGAUUCUUAUUAGUUUGUUUAGUGGUAAAGCAUAUAACCUGUUUUUCAAAGCCAAGUUGUGCUAUUGAUUAUGUUAACUUUAUUGUUCACAUAAAGUGAUAUGGAGGAAAUAAUCAUUGUAGGAAAAUUAGGUGAAGAGGUGAUGUCAAAUCUUGAACCUGUUACAAAACUCCAAGUUCUUUACUUGAAGAAGCUACCAAAUUUGAACAGGGUCCACUGGAAGGCCUUGCCAUUCCCUGAUGCCUGCAGAAUUU